CAACAACGACAACUUCUUUCACAAACGACCUAAGAAAAAGACAUGCGUAUGUACACUUCAAUGCAGUAAAGCCCCACCACCACCGUCAGAACCUGACGUGCCAGAGCCACCGGGUGAACCUGAGGUGCCAGAUCCUAAGAAGAAGCCGCCGCCGCCAUAUGUAUGUGAUGUGCCGGAGCCGCCCUCGGGAGAAAACAAGAAGAAGCUAGUGGCAGCUGCUGACCAGUGAGCAAAUGGUCUAGCCUGCCCGUCCGUGGAAAAUGAUUUCAAUAAGACAGGAAUUAAUCAAUGCUUACUAAAGCCUACGAAACCUUCCAUCCCUAAUUAAUCCCCUCCCCCUGAUUGGGCGUCGCAUUGGGGAUCGAUUUGGCCCCGAUCCGGCUUGAUGGAAUACAAGCCAUGCCCAUGCCACCCCAUGGACGCCCCUGACCGAGGUUGGGGCUUGCCGUGGGUGCAUCCGCACCGGCGCGGUGGCCUGCAGUCCCUACAACCAGCAUAAGCUCUGAAACGUGGGAAAGACGCAAGAUCAGAUGUUCCCCACAACCUGAACAUGUGAGCUAUGAUAUUUCUCCCGGCAUGUGUGUUGCUUCUGCUGGAUGAUGCUCUGUUGCCUCCUAGCUGUCGUCGUCUUUCCUUCUCUUGCUGCUCGAUGAAGUUGGUCGUGAUGCUAGCUUUGCAUGCUAUGGAGUUUCUAGUUUUUACUUACAUUGAUCUGAUUAUGUAUACCUUUUUUGGGGCAGGGGUAUAUGUAUGCCAGUAUACAUUAUUAAGUACUGGGGAGAAGAGGGGGAUGUAUUGUACCUCUGUGGAACAUCGUCUUUUAGCUGAAUCUAUAUGUUUAUUCAAUCUGAACUUGGAUGUUUUAUUUGGCUUGCACACCCCCUGUAAAGAAAUAUAAGAUCGUUUUGAUCACCAAACUACCUUGUGAUUUCCUAUGCUGCAAACUGUAAUUAGUUUUCUUUAGCUGCAGGCUUUGUUACUAUAGUUGGCUAAUGGCUAAUGCACUUAAUUGGGACCAUUUCUGGUCUGAUAAUAAAUGCAGGUAUGUCUAAUUUGGAUCUUAACUAGAGCACCAACGUAUGCUUCUAACACCUCUGAAAAAUUAUCGCAACUGAAGUAUUGGACUCAUCUAUAUAUGGACAUCAUUCUAGCUUACUCCUUUGGUACGUACACAUGACAACUGAGAUUGGAACCCCCUUUUGUAAUGAUAAUCACCAUAAUCUGCAAUUAAUUCAGCAUCACAUGGGAAAAUAAGUGGGGAUAUUGUCACUAAAAAAUAUUCCAAUUUUGUGGAGCUUGACUAGCUGGGAUCAAUUCUUGCAUUCCACAACAUGCUUUGUUACGAAGCAAUAACCCAUGUCUCCACAUGCUAGAGUUUCAGUUUCCUUGGAUGUUGCAAUGUAUAUUUCAAAACUUCAUCUGUGGAUUUGGUUUCGAUCACAAAGAAUUGGUAGACAUUUUUGCUAAUUUACUAGGCCCUUUCCAGCAGCAGAUUCCUUUUAAUGUAGAUAUGCCAUGCUUACAGUUUGACAUGAAUACUUCAUGUUGUGCUUCUUAGCUCUAAUAGUACUUUGUGUUUACUUAUACUAGCGGCUGGGGUCACUACUGGGAAAGCGAUUAUAGGUGAAUCCUAAUGAGUGGCGGGCAUAGUCGGUAACCCGCAACAACUAUUUUUGAAAACAAGCAGUGGCGGGUAGCAAACACUGUCCGCCACAGCUAGAAGCUCACUUUAGGAAAGGGGUUUGAAGAAAAUAUGUUGUCUGUGCGUUGUUUGCGAGAAUGAUGUUAUAUACACAAUUGAAUCGGGAGAGUUGCAUAAGCACUUGUUGGCUGGUGGUUUCAUGCCCGGUUAUACGAUAUGGACAAGUCAUGGUGAGGAUGGGAUGUCAUGUGAAGGAGCGGAACAUGACGAGGAACAAGAAUGGUUGAUGGAUGGACAUGAUGAACAAUCUGACGGUGAUGAAUACGGCGAGUCUGGUGAAGAGUCCGACGAAAGUGAGGAGGCCGAAAUGGAGGAGGCAAUCAUCUAGGGCAAAUUGGCGGGAAUGGUGCAUGAUGAACACAUGCAAGAGUUGAACAUGAAAGAGACUAGCACCGAGGCAGCUUCUCGUAGAGAGGCUACCAAACUGGCGACUCUUGUGAAGGACUUAACAGCCGCUUUGUACGGUGGUUGCAAGGCAAAACAGACACGACUAAGUGUCACGAUGAAUCUUAUGGACAUUAAGGCAAAAAACAAUAUCACAGACACUUCCGUCGAUAUGAAUUUGAAGUAUUUGCAUGAUGUUCUUCCUAAAGGCAACGUGUUGCCAAAAAGUAUUGAUGAGGCAAGGAAGGUAUUGUGUCCUCUUGACAUGGAGCCGGUAAAGUACCAUGCAUGCAAAAAUGACUACGUAAUUUACCGGAACGAGUACUCCAACCUAAUAAGGUGUCCAACAUGCAAUUUUCCACGAUUCAAGCGGGGAAACAACAAUUGGGAAGACAAUGAUGAUGGUAGAGCACCCGCUAGCGGUACUCCUUAUAAGUUUGUAUGGUACUUCCCAAUCAUUCAACGCCUGAAGCGUUUUUAUGCAAACAAGAAGCAGGCAAAGCUUAUGAUUUGGCAUUCUAAGAGGAAUAAGUAUGACAGAGUGAUUAAACACGUUGCAUAUGGUCGGCAGUGGAAAGCAAUCGAUGACGAGUUCCCUCAUUUAAGUGGAGAUGAUAGGAAGCUGGGCUAUAGUGUGGAUGGUCUGAAUCCCUUUAGUAACCAAAACAGCGCACACAACACCUAGCCCGUGGUUGUCUGCAUCUACAACCUUCCCCCAUGGGUGUGCACGAAGAGAAAGUACACAUGGUCAUGCCAAUUCAACAACCAAGCCAACUGGGUAGUGAGUUGAACAUGUAUAUGUAACUACUGAAGGAGGAGUUAGAAAUUUUAUGGGCAGAUGAGGGGGUGUGUACAUAUGACGCUAAAACGGGUACGUAUUUCGCUAUGAAAGUUGUGCUGCUCACGACGAUGGAGGACUAUCCGGCAAACGGUUAUAAUUCAGGUCAAGUUUGCCACAAGAACUGUGCAUGUGUUAGGUGAAUGGAUGAAACUCAUUCUCUAUAUCUGAAGGCCUCUCAUAAAACAGUUUACAUGAAGUAUAAGUGAUUGAAAAGAAACAUUUUGACAGAUUUAAUUUCUAGGCUUCUAAAUAUUGAGAUUUUUUAUGCACUAUAUACGGAUGAUUUAUUGUAUGAUAUACGACACGUACGUACAUGUUAGGGCCAUCUUAAAGGAGCUCUUCUUACCCUCAGCUAUUGGACCUCCUCAUUCGGUUAUGAUCUAGUACGAUGACCCUCAUCAGGUGUACUACUACUUAUAGUUCAUCGGAGUUUCUAUUCGUGUAUGGGUACCUAGAUGACCUGUCAUAUGUUCCUUAGCUCCACAAUCUCAGCGACUGAUAUAUCUUGAUAUUUACUUAUCAGACGUAACGUUAAUUGCUGACAUCAAUGUCUCCUGCUAACACAAGUCGAUGUGCAUGUACAUGAAUCAAAACAAGUAACAAACAAGUAAACCCAAUUGUAUAGAGCCAACAUAGCACCACAAAGGACCACCUCAGUAGGCGCAAUCGUGCACCCCAUCCCCUAGUACCUUAUAGCAAAUCUACUAGUCAUCUAUUGGGCAAAUUAUAGGAAAAAAGGCUCUCUAGCAGAGUUGCAAUAUCUAGCAAAAUUGACAUAAUUUUGUAGAGCAUCCUCCAUAUUCGGCCUCCCAGCCCCAUAUUUGGAGUCUUGGGCUAUCUUUUGGAAGACGCUCCAUAUGGCUAUUCUGUGUGGCGGGAAGAAAACCUCACAUGAUCCAUCACCUCACAUGGGAUCGAUAUUUUAAUUGGAGGAAAAUUGUAUUCCACUGGCAUAUGGGUCCAUUGAUUAUGAAGGCCACAUUAUGGCGACUAUGUGUUUAUACGCACAACCUCGGUGGACUCCAUAAUUUAUAUGGAGCGCACAUCAUAUGAAUACUGGGACUCCCAAUAUGGCGACUCUGCUAGAGUUGCUCGUAGGAGGCAUGUAGCCUUGCCCACAAAUGAUCGUUAGGUUCAAGGAACGCAUCUGCUCGUCCAUGUUGCAUUCGUCCCAUAAAAUAAUCUCAAGUAAAACUUCUCGUUCCCCGCAUGACAGGACCCACACAAUAGGAUUGUACAUAUCACGCCUCAGUCAUAAAUGUCUCCUGAUACCCGUUGUUUCUUUUCUCCUAGAGACCAUGGCGAUCAUAGAACACACCACCUGCGAUGUUACCAGGAGUGCUUCCCCAAUACCAACUGGCGACCAUGGAGGACCAUCGUCGUACCCUCGCGACCAUUGGGCCACCGUCGAGAUCCAUUAGUCGCUGGGAUCCAGUCCUACUGUUCUUCACCGCCGGUUGGAGCUUGCCAGAUGCUCCAUCUUUCCAUGUUCACCGCCUCGUUCUCCGCCACCUUCCUCUUCCCUACAGUUUGUAGUCUGCUAAUUGAUGUUUGUGAUGAUCGACUCCAAGAGCAUUUUGGGUUGACCAGACCUCUCCUCCAUUGCUGACAACGGGUUGCAUGGAAGGUUUUGAAUGCGUUGUUGCGCUCGCUCACAAUAGAUCCAACCCUGCCAGGGAUUUCAAGUGGUCUCUCCGGAGUAAGUCUAAACCCAUUGUGGUGGAUGUUAAGGUUUUGGUAAUAGGGUUUAGAGUGGAGUGAGGGUAAAAUUUCUAGGCAUUAUGGUAACUAUGGUACUAGUUUGUGACGACCCAAUAGGAAGGGAUCGCAGUCACAUAACUGGAUAGGUAGGGAAGCAAAUGGUGAAGUUGGGGAAGACAAUGUUGAGGAUUCAUAGAGAAUUUGAUAUAAGAACUACAAUGCGCAUUCCAUCUUUGUCGUCGUUCACCAUUGUCUUCAGCAUGAGUAACACACACCAACUCACACGGGUUAGGUCACAUUCGACACCAACACUACACAACCCAUAGCCCGAAUCUUACUCCACUAUAUCGUUUUUGGAUGCAUGUGUCGCAUACUAUAUGUUGAUGGAACGGAAGAGCAAAGAGAAGAUCUAGACCAUCUUCCACGCUAUGCCAUUGGAAGCAAUGUACCAGACUGUCGACUACAGAUAUUCCUCCAAAAAUAUGUAACUUCGUCUCGAGGCUGGCAGAGUGUACUGCCAAAGUUAUUACAUGAUCGCAACAUGUCAUCUACUACAUCAUGUGGAAUUUGCGGUAUAGCGGAUCAUACAUGGUUUCACUGCUCGUUGAUUGUACAAUGGUUUGAUAUGUUAGGGCUUUGAUAGAUGAAGACUUGACGGAGCAAAUAUGCAUGUCGGCUUCAGAAAAUAACCUAUUGAUGUCGCCAAAAAAAUAAGGUGAAGAGAGGCUUGGGACCGGGCCCAACUCAUCCCAAAUGGAUCCUGCGGCCACAAGGAAGUUGCAAGACCAAUGCAAAUAGAGCACUCGCAAAAUUUUCAGCGAAGGUUGCCGUCGUUAUUGCUUGUUGUGUUGAAGAUGACUCCGGUCCAGGAGUAUGGACUAUGGUAGCGAAGGCAUUCAGGGCCCAUUAAUAGUUUAAAUGAAGGCCCUUCAAGAGGCCUUGGACCGACACUUGAUUUAUAGAUCAAAACAGUGAGGAUAACAUCAGACUGUCAGACGAUUAUCAAUGACAUCAACAAUGGAAGCAUGGCAGUCUAUGACAUGAUACUUGUGGAGAUUAAUGGCCGUUGUAAGGAACUCAACGAUAUUUCAUUCCACUAUGAGAAUGAGAGUGGAAAUUCUAAUAGAGGCAGAUUCUACAGCAAAAUAUGCCCUUUCUCUGACGAGUGGCUAGGACUUCUAGCUGCUUAUUAACUAGAGAGCUGCUAUGCACAUGAUACCUGUUGCACGAUUGUUGGACGAUACUGCAAAUCGCACCAUCCAUAUGUAGGAGUAGGUGCGACACAGCCACUGGAUUAACUAUCGUGCCUGAAUUGUCCAAUAGGUAUCUCUCGUGAAGUAGUUUCGUAUUAACCAUCUCACCAGAUUUGUAUACUGUACCGCAAGAAAUUUUAGAUGAAUAUAAAAUCACCAACCUCGUUGAAGACAAAAAAUAAUGGCCGCGUGUGCAAACUCAAUUUUCACCUACUCUCUCCUUCCAACAAUAUAAGACGUUUAUGCAAGCAAGUAAAUGAUUAGAUAUAGUGAGGAGUCAUCUUAAAGUCUGAAUUUGGUCCCUCAACUUUAAAAAGAUGUCCUCCACCUUUAAUUUUCAAUGCCCGAUAAGUUUGGUCCCUCUUCGAAUGUUAAACCGGUUUUUAAUGAUGUGGCUUGGUUUUCAUGGGUUGACACGUGGCAUAAAUCCUAAUCUGCUACAUCUAUCUUGGUUUAUUGGUCUGCAUUGUAUUUUGUGUCAAUUACCAUAGAUUUAACUACCAAAAUGUUCUUGCAUGUCAUAAAAAAUUAUAUCAUUGAAAACUAUGUUCAAAUACGAAUCCUUCGAUAUAAUUUUUGUUGACAUGCAUUCUUUUUGAGUUAAAAGUUUGAUCAAAAUUUGACGCAAACUACAAAGGGACCAAUAAACCAGGACGGAAGUAGUACUCAACAAUGUGACCAUUUAAAUAUUUUAACCAGAUUAUAUCUCUCUCAGCGCUUGGGUCCCUAUCUAUCGCAUUAACACGUUGAACCGCGACAUAGUACACUUGAGGGUGGAGCUACAGUGGGGCUGUGAGGUGUUCCCGGAUCCAUCCAAUGCCGUCAGCGGCGUCCAAUCUAGCCCCACCCCACCGAAGCCAAACGGCUCGAGUACCUAGUCAUGGACACUCCGUAUUAAACGCCUCGCUCCUGCCAGAAUAUUGGCCUUCUUUGGCCCGACGGAAUGCGCCCCCAUCCUCUUCUUUGGAAUCGUUUCCCGCUGCCGCGCGCAGUGGAACCCGACGACGAAUGGGCGGAAAGCAGACGAGAAAGGGGAAACCAGGGCUACUGCCACGACGUACUCCUCGUAGGCGGCUGCAUUGUAUGCACUACUAGGGAAAAGCCUAGCAGCAGCGCGGGUUUUAGGCCUAUCAGUAGCGCGGGGCGAUGCGCUAUUGAUAAGGCGCUACAGCUAACGUAUAGCAGUAGCGUGCCUCCGCCCACGCUACUACUAAAUCGACAUAGUAGUAGCGACUUCCCGGAGGAGCGUUACUGGUAAUUAGUAGUAGCGCUUCUCCCUACCCGCGCUGCUACUAUUAUUUCGUAUUUUAUUUCUUUUUUAUUUCAUGUUGUAUUCGUACACCUUUACACAAGUUUUCAUACAACAUGAAUUUAUAAAUUGUUUUUACAUCAUAAUGAGUUACUACAUCACGGGGUGAAAGAACCGUGGACUAGUUUCAAGUGGAUGGACAUAAUGAGUUACUAAUCCACGGUUCUUUUACCCAAUGAUAUAAUAAAUAUCAUCAUCAUCAUAUCAUUAACAACUUAUCAUCAUAAUACAUCAUUGUCAUAUAACACCUCCUCAAGAUCAUCGUUUUCAUCAAUGAGACAUCACAUAGCAAAUUGGUCACUAGUCGUAAUCACAAGUACUCCUCAUCAUCAACUCUAACACAUUGUAUCACAUAAUAAACAUAUUUUACCUCAUAGGACCUACUACAUUCUCUUAGGACCUACUAUAUUCUCUAACGUAAAAUAGCAAAAAAACAAGAUAGCCCCUGACUCUCCAUUAUGGAGAAUGGAGAUUAUUCUGUCUCCAAUUCUUGCCUUUUGCUUAAUGUUACUUCCAAGAACCUCCUUGCGAAUGUCCAAACAUUUUUUCCAUUGUUUGAUUAGCAUGUGUUCACCGGUUUUAGAAAUCCGAUAUGCACAGGUGAGCUCCUUAGAUUGACCUGGCUGUAUGUUCAGAACUGCAAGGCGACUAUUCUGAUACAUCAGAUGAGGCACACAAUCCAUCGGGAUUUUCUAUUGAAAAACAUAGUAAUAACUUUGUAGUUAGCAAUGAUGUACUAGUUUUAGAAGUAUGCAAAAGAUGCACGGAUGUCAUAAUAGUAAAAAAUCUUACCAGGGUAUCUCCAUAGAAGUUACCGUGGUUCAACACGUGCACUAGUGGCACGUAUUCACCAUAAUUUGGAGGAGUUUGAUAAUAGGUAUUGUAAUUCUCAAGAUAAGUACAAUAAGCAUUCAGAUGACUUUUCUCCUUAUAAGUUAAUUCAGAGCCAUCAGUGUAGUGGGUUUUGUCUACCAUCUUCUGCACAUUCUUUGAAGAUUCAAAAUAAGCUGUCAAUGGAAAUAAGCUGUCAACUAUUUUGAAAUAAACAAUAUAAAGUAGUUAAUAACUAUGUUUGAGAAACUCACAUUGCGGUAGAAUCGGAAGCGUAUCAACAAGGACCCAAAUGUCCAUAUUGUCUUGCUCGAUGUCAGGAUCACCAAGAUCCAUGGUGACAAUCAUACCCUCAUAAAAACCAUACAUUUUGCAAAGUGUUUCCCAAUUUUGGCAACCAAAAUGGGUUACGCUCUGAGAAUUGUACAGAUUUACUUCAAAAUCGAUAUCAUGAUGGAUCCUUAGGUGUAUUUUCUUUGUUUGAAAAUUUUCAUGGUCUUCAAAACCCAUCCUCUCCAAGACAUAGCGUCUUGCAUGGCAUGGGAUAAACUAAUCGAAUUGUAAACAAUGAAAAUUAGACGUUGAAAUAGUUAAAGUCAUGCUUAAUUACGAAAAAAAAACACUUGUCGUUGUUGCGUACCGUUUCAACAUCGAAGGUCUCCUCGAGCUUAAUGCUGAAGCGCCGAUCUUCGUCCAGCUCAACGAACAUGUCGCACAUACCUCGAUCGUCGUGGCACCAGCUGCACUCCCCCGGGAGACUAUCGUCGUCCGAGUACGACAUUUCCUACGUUCAUAAUUCAAAGAUUAAACUUGUACAAUUAAAUAUAUGUACUAAAAAACCUAAAUUAGAUCAUUAUUUUUUGAGAAAAUCCAGGCCACUCGAUAUUUGCUACAAAUACUAGCACAAGUCAUGCCAGAAUUCACGGAAAAAUCCGGCAUGACCUUUGCUAAAAAAGGACAUAUCGAGCGCCUGAAAUUUGCUGGAAUGGAAAUUAAUCAACACUCCGGCAAAACAUAGGCCACUCGGAGGUGUAAACUGAACAUGAACGGCCACUUGGACAACCACAUAUCCUAUUUGAGCAACACAAGAUAUACAUGGAUAUUUGGCUGGUCUCACCUCGAUGUCGGAGGGGGUCGGUGACGGGGACGACAGUGGGGAUGAUGGAGGGGCUCCUUGAUUUCUACAGAAGCAAAAACCGUAUAAGUUAUCACUAAUACAUCCCGAAUAAUUGCUUAAACUAAAAAAUAACAACAAAUAUGGCAUGUUCAACUAGUUUUAUUAAUUUAACUAGUUCUUACUAAAUAUAAACUUACUAUAAAUAGAAAAAACAAGUUCUUUCUAAAAAUAAAGUAGUUCAACUAGUUAUAUUAAUUAUCUUACUAAAAAUACAUUAGUUCUAUUAAUUCAACUAGUUCAACUAGUUUAUUAAUUUACUUACUAAACUAGUUCAACUACAACUAAAGUAGUUCAACUAGUUUAUUAAUUUACUUACUAAUUAUUUUAAACACUUACUAAAAACAGUAAAAAUNNNNNNNNNNNNNNNNNNNNNNNNNNNNNNNNNNNNNNNNNNNNNNNNNNNNNNNNNNNNNNNNNNNNNNNNNNNNNNNNNNNNNNNNNNNNNNNNNNNNNNNNNNNNNNNNNNNNNNNNNNNNNNNNNNNNNNNNNNNNNNNNNNNNNNNNNNNNNNNNNNNNNNNNNNNNNNNNNNNNNNNNNNNNNNNNNNNNNNNNNNNNNNNNNNNNNNNNNNNNNNNNNNNNNNNNNNNNNNNNNNNNNNNNNNNNNNNNNNNNNNNNNNNNNNNNNNNNNNNNNNNNNNNNNNNNNNNNNNNNNNNNNNNNNNNNNNNNNNNNNNNNNNNNNNNNNNNNNNNNNNNNNNNNNNNNNNNNNNNNNNNNNNNNNNNNNNNNNNNNNNNNNNNNNNNNNNNNNNNNNNNNNNNNNNNNNNNNNNNNNNNNNNNNNNNNNNNNNNNNNNNNNNCGACGGUGAGGUCGAGAGCGGUGGUGAGGUCGAGAGCGGAGGGGGUGGGGGAGGUGGCGGCGACGGUGAGGUCGAGAGCGGCGGCGGGCGGCGGCGGUGAGGUUGACGGCGGCCUCGGACGGCGACGGUGAGGGCAGGCUCGGGCUCGGGCGGUGGCGACAGAGGAGUAGGGGAACAGUGGGGGGGGGAGUAGGAGUUAGCGAAAUUUUGAGCGGGCGGGUGGUUAAGUCGAACUAGCAGUGGCGCACUUUAGGAAACGCGCUAUAGCUAAAGUAGCUAUAGCGCGUUUUCAGGAAAAACGCUACUGCUAAGUCUAAGCAUGCAUCAAAAAUAUACGUUGGUCAUCAUUGAUAUUUUUGUGUAGAAUAUAAAUAGUCAACAUAUUUAAGGUGGUAAACACCUUGUUCACUUAGUAGUAUGGGACUAAACUUAAUUAGGUGCAACACUUAGCAGCAGCGAGUUUUGCAGAAACACGUUGCUACUAUGUACUUUAGCAGCAGCGCGUCCAGGGAAGGGCGCAACUACUAUAUCUAGCCUGGGGGCAAAUCCGUGGCAAUUAUAGUAGUAGCGCUUGUUUCACCUAGAGCGCUACUGCUAUCUAGUUAUUAGUAGCGCGGUUCCUUUAAGCUCGCUACUGCUAGUUAGCAGUAGUGCCUGUUUUAAAACCGCACUGCUGCUAAGAUUCUGUGUAUAACGUUUUCCCUAGUAGUGAUGGGAGAUGCUCGGCUGGUGUGCGCCAUUGUCUCCAUUGUGCUCAACGCUAUGCUAUCUGAAAGUUUUUCCCCACAUUUUAGUUAGAAUGUUUUAUUGUGCUGCAAGAAACCAAAAAAAAAAGUUCUUGCACGAAUCGCGAUGAAUGGCUAGAUAAGGAGAUGUACCUAAGCCUAUUCUCCACAAGAUAUUUUCCGUACGCUGCCCCCGGGGGCCUCCUCUGACGUAUCCAAGGCACUGUUUUGGUAACCGAACGAAAUUUCACGAUCUCACCCGGUUACCGCAUUUAUCGCCCCCCUCCCCUCGAGAAACACUCAUACCGGACAAAAAAUCUCAUUUUUUUGAAUAUUUUGGAUUCAAACGCUCAGAGUGUAGUUAAAUAUAGGACAUCUCUUUUAUACUAACAUAAGCGGUUGUGGCCUAGUGGAAACUGCUGCCUUUCUUCAACAGCUUGUCGCGGGUUCGAAUUUUGACCCACGCUUUUUAAUUUCUUUUUGAUAUACAAAAGUUAAAAAAAACUUAAAAUUUGUUGAAGUGGCAAGGGGUCGAGCGUGAUAAUUUUUGAAGUUAAGCCCCUAUCUAUAUCAACUUCAAAAAAUUUGAAUUCAAAAUUUAUUUUCAAAUUUCGUUCGAAUUUUUUUCGGUAUUUUGUGGUUACCAUGGUAACCACGAAUUCCAGUGCCCCUCGAGAAAAAAUGUGCACUUGGGAUCCAAAACCUUGAUCCAAGGCGACCCCAACUUCGCCCACGCUUCCCAAUCCACGCUCACACGACACCUCACGUCGCACUGCUCUGCACCGACCACCGCCUUCCACGCUCGCUUCUCUGACGCCACCGCACCAACGCACACACCCGAUGGGCUGCUCCCAUCCAUGGCCUUCUCCAGCUCCCGGUGCGUGCUGGUGCAGAGCCAGUGGGGGAGCACGUGAACGACAUCGCCCACCACUAUGGAUCAAGAACUAUGGACGACGGCAGCCAGCGAGGCCAAGUGGCGGCAUGGCUACAAUUCUGACGAGAUGGAGCACGCACUCGUUGGCCUCCACUGCCGCAGAGUACUUGGCCUCGCCACGGAAGUGUGGCACUACUACUUGGCCUCAGCGCAGCAGCGAUGCUCAGGGAGUAGUACUGCCGUUCACAACGACCCAACAAGAGGAUCUUGUACAACCCGAAAGACACCAAGCAACGAUGGAUCCACAGGAACAACACAGUGCCUUCAGAAGUGAAAGGAUCAAGGAGGGAGGUCGUUGUUCUCCCGGCUCCCGUCGUCUCCUUCUCUGGAGGCCGGAGUAACGGUGGAUGGGGAGCCGGGGCCUCUCUUGUAUUUAGUAGUUUUGGUUCAGGAUGCUUGCCUGGGGUUACCGUGAUGGCGCCUGGCAAGAUGCCGUUACAGUGCUGCCCACCACUGCCUUUUUUUACAAAAAUGAUUUAAAACUUAUUAUCAAAGUUCAUCAAAAGUAAAAAAAUCUAAAACAUAAGAGAAAUUACAUCGAGAUUUGAAGGCUACCGAACAACCAUUACUACCGCUAGAAGGAGCCACCGACCCCGCUAUUGCCGCUCCUCUACCGGAGCCGGCUUGAACGUGCAAUGACAGCCAAGAAGUCUUCAUGCACGUGCCACUAAUGACCAGCGCCCUAGAGCCGCAGUCAUCGCUGUUUAAUCCUUGCAUAGAUCUGAAGCACCUGACACCAAAUCUUGCCACAUGAUUUGAAACCCUAACCUCACUGCCCCAAGGAGAUGGCAGGAAUCUACGCUGGGGAUCCAUCAACUACGUACAGACGGACGAACUUGAGAAGGAUCGAAGCACGAAAUACCAACUCAAAGAAGUAGCACCGGCAUCUGCCCAAGUGUUGCACCCGCCAGGACUAAAAACCGUAGCCUAAACUACCAACCGGUGUGGAGACACCCAGAUUCUCCUCCCCGCCACUGUCCACCGGAGCGGCAGGCAAAAGGGAGGCGAAUCCAUGGGCUCGAGGUGAAGUCUAGGGAUUUUUUUGUCCUAACGGCCUAUGAUUAGGGGAGGUAAAUGAGAGGCUGCCCACCGUUGCUUGCAUAGUGCACGGUGGUUGUCGAUAUCAUCUUCCGCUCUGGUUCCAUGGUGACGUGAAAGGGAGGCAACGGUUCUUUCGCUAGCUCCCUUAAUAAGCACGCACUCGCACAGGAUCAAGUUUGUCUCAUGUCCUCUCCUCCUUAUUUUUGCCAUCAUGGCGACGCCACAGGUGGAAGAGCACUACAGGACUUGGGCUUCUGAUACAGUGAGGUAUUUUGUAAAGAUCUGUUAGAGGGCCUCCAGCAUGCCUCCUGUUGCUACAUUCAUCGUGAUGGUGGAGGCAUGGACACGGUCAUUUGGAUGUGGUUCAAGAGCUCAUGGUGGUGGAUUUGGAGGAAUUUUGGUGCCUCGGGGUGGGCGUUCGGGUUUACCCAAAAUUCCGCGUCUGCUAAUUCGGAUUUUUAGAAAUUUGGGUUUCUAAAAUAAACACCCAAAAUAUUCCUAAAAAAGAGAAAUCCAAAAAUUCUGGUUUAGGUUCGGGUAUUCCUGAAUUACCCGAAUUAGCACAACAAACAAAAUGACAGCAGCAACUCGCGGCAUACUGGCGGCUGAUGCAGCGCUCCCCUUUGCUUCCCUCACUCAAAGGUUGUGGGAUGUAGCCUCACCUUGUUUGCUUCUCAUGGCGGCAGGAUACUGGGACUAGGAGGUCAUCGACCUUAUUGCAGAUUUGCAGGCGAAGGUGGUGAGCCUCGUGCGCGUCACAGAUAGUGGCAGCGAGGUGCAGAAGAUGGUGACGAUGUCGGUGAGGUGGAUGGAGUUAAUGAGGUGGCCAACCGCCCGGCCGCAUUGCACGCUCGUGGUUGCUAGGUCGGGACACAGGAUGUGGCCGACUGCAUUGCAUUGUAGCCGCUGGUUCGAGAGAGACGGAGAGGAAGGAACGAGGCGCCUAUGUGUGUGUGUGUGUGUGUGUGAUAGAGAGAGAGAGAGAGAGAGAGAGAGAGAGAGAAAUGGACUGCUCGACUAGUGGCACAACAUGGGAAGUGGAUGGGGGUCGCGACUAUGCUCGGUCGACCUAGGGAAAUCGAGGCCUUAUUCUUAUUCCCAUAUUGGGCUGGGUUGAUGCCAGAAGGUGGAAUUUUGAUUGGGCGGUACCAUGAGUUGGGACCGAAAUUUCCCAAAAAAUUGGGUUUCUCAAAAUGUUACCUGGUUUAGUUUUCCAGUUUUUCGGGUUAGGGCUAAAUGGGUUCUCGUUUGGGCGUUGGGUAUCGGGUUUUAUGCUCAUCGUGUGUGGUGCCCUUGUUGGUCAUGGCCUGGUUUCCUCCAAGGGGACACGUAUCUUGUGGUCAAAAGGGGACCUAUUUCAUUUCUUCUGACCAUGAUGCCAGAGAUGAGACAAGUUGCUUAAAGGUGGAUUAUUCAAUGCCAUGUUGUCAUGGAGGUCUCGCCGGCUCAAGCGGUGUCAUUCGUGGACCAACGAGACUAGCACUACUAGGGAAAAGCCUAGCAGCAGCGCAGGUUUUGGGCCUCUCAGUAGCGCGGGGACCGGCGCUACUAAUAAGGCGCUACAGCUAACGGGUAGCGCCUGUUGUCCCACGCUACUGCUAUACAUGUAUAGCUGUAGCGCUCUUUAGAAAAGGGCGCUGCUGAUAUUAUCUGCAGCGCUGUUUACUGGGAAGCGCUACUGGUAAGGCGGCGCUACUGCUAAAUUUCCCCCCCUCGCUACUACUAGUUUUAUUAGUUUUUUCCCUGCGUAUUUGUUUUGUAUUUGAAUAGGCUUUAUACAAUAAUCUUUAGCAUAUCAUACACAUACAAAUGUAAUCAUAGCAUAUACAUACAAUUAGUCUCAUCAAAUCAUGUCAUCAUCAUAAUCAUCAUCCAACACAAAGUGGUCUCUCGUCAUCAUCUAGAAAAUAGCGAUACAAGUCUCGAUUACUUGCAAAUACAUCGUCAUCCAUCUAAACAAUGAUAUACGCGAGAAGAGCUAUCACUUUGAGUACAUGAGUUCGUAUCCCUCUCUCGCAUUAGCGUGAACCUAAACUAACUACUGCAUGUCGCUCGGAAGCCAGAAAUUGGUACACCUGGGCCUGACACUCCGGCCACUUGUCGUAUAUAUACUCCUGGCGUAGCACUUCUUCGCCAUCUAUGAUCUAUGCACCUGCAUCGUCACAUGAGUCGAUGAUAUGCAACAUAUAUAGUUGAGCAACAGAAAGAGACAGACUUGGCAAAAAUAGAAACAGCAUAUCAUAAGCAUAAAUAACAAAGUUCAUCGUACCCAAAAUGCCCUAACUAGAGUUAUUUUCGCUAGUCGAGGAGGAGGAGGACGGUUUAAUUACAUCACAAAUAAAGUUUCACCGUGCAUAACUCAAAGUUUUGUCAUACAGAAAGUAUGGACUAAACGUACACAUUGUCAUAUAUCGACAAUCACUCCAACAUGUCGUUCCAUCCAUCCAAGUCAGGGAGAUAGUCCUCGAGCUUAGUGAAAGGCUUCAUGUCGAGACGCUGAGAGGCUAUCCAUGUUCGGACGUCUUCCCGCAACAUUUGUCCUUCUCCAUAGAACAUCCUUGUUUUUCCGACGACCUCCUUCAUGAUGAUUUGGGCAAGUUCGUGCUGGAUGUUAUAGAACUCAGCUCGAAGUCGAUGAUCCUCGAUAUCUCCUAUGUCCUUUGCCCAUUGCAGAAUAUGGGCAUCGCCGGAUCUAGGUGACAUGCGAAGGUUCUGGUGAUCCCGUCUGUACUCCAGCAUGUGGUGUAGGACAUAGAAUCCAUCAUUAAGAGAAUUGUUCGGUUGCUGGAUGCAGCAGAAGUCGGUCUUAUGGCCGAAGGCGACCCUGCCGCCCCUUCUCUUCUUGUCCCUGACCUCUCCAUCCCUUGCUUGGUAGCAAAACAUAGCACUGUCGAACAUCCUUGAUGUGGGUGUAAUCCUUUUUGUGAAUGUUCUUCGACGAGUCCAAGUAAAGAGUGUGGGAGAAUCGGAGGUAGAUGAUGAUGAGGACGGCGCACCCGCUGCUGCGCAAAAUAAGUACACCUCAAAUUAAUUAGCCUACACCGUGCAAAUGAAUGAUUGAAAUCGAAGGAAGGAUAGCAGCGUGUAUUCACGGUGCUUUGCGUAGACUCCCAAGAAGCCCUCUGAUGUCUACUACACAACCUUCUUCUUGUAGACGUUGUUGGGCCUCCAAGUGCAGAGGUUUGUAUGACAGUAGCAAAUUUCCCUCAAGUGGAUGACCUAAGGUUUAUCAAUCCGUAAGAGGCGUAAGAUGAAGAUGGUCUCUCUCAAGCAACACUGCAACCAAAUAACAAAGAGUCUCUUGUGUCCCCAACACACCCAAUACAAUGUUAAAUUGUAUAGGUGCACUAGUUCGGCGAAGAGAUGGUGAUACAAGUGGUAUAUGGAUAGUAGAUAAUAGUUUUUGUAAUAUGAAAAUAUAAAAACAGCAAGGUAAUGAAUGAUAAAAGUGAGCGUAAACGGUAUUGCAAUGUGUGGAAACAAGGCCUAGGGUUCAUACUUUCACUAGUGUAAGUUCCCUCAACAAUACUAACAUAAUUGGAUCACAUAACUAUCCCUCAACAUGCAACAAAGAGUCACUCCAAAGUCACUAAUAGCGGAGAACGAACAAAGAGAUUAUGGUAGGGUACGAAACCACCUCAAAGUUAUUCUUUCCAAUCAAUCAGUUGGGCUAUUCCUAUAUGUGUCACAAACAGCCCUAGAGUUCGUACUAGAAUAACACCUUAAGACACAAAUCAACCAAAACCCUAAUGUCACCUAGAUACUCCAUUGUCACCUCAAGUAUCCGUGGGCAUGAUUAUACGAUAUGCAUCACACAAUCUCAAUUCAUCUAUUCAACCAACACAUAGAACCUCAAAGAGUGCCCCAAAGUUUCUACCGGAGAAUCAUGACGAAAACGUGUGCCAACCCCUAUGCAUAGGUUCAUGGGCGGAACCCGCAAGUUGGUCACCAAAACAUACAUCAAGUGGCACGUGGUAUCCCAUUAUCACCACAAAUAUCCACGGCAAGACAUACAUCAAGUGUUCUCAAAUCUUUAAAGACUCAAUCCGAUAAGAUAACUUCAAAGGGGAAACUCAAUUCAUUACAAGGGAGAAGAGGGGGAGGAGAAACAUAGGAUCCAACUAUAAUAGCAAAGCUCGCGAUACAUCAAGAUCAUGCCAAAUCAAGAACACAAGAGAGAGAGAGAGAGAUCAAACACAUAGCUACUGGUACAUACCCUCAGCCCCGAGGGAGAACUACUCCCUCCUCGUCAUGGAGAGCGCCGGGAUGAUGAAGAUGGCCACCGGUGAGGGUUCCCCCCUCCGGCAGGGUGCCGGAAUAGGGUCCCGAUUGACUUUUGGUGGCUACAGAGGCUUGCGGCAGCGGAACUCCCGAUCUAUUGUUCGUUCUAGAAGUUUUAGGGUACGACGAUAUAUAUGGGUGCAGGAAGUACGUCGGAGGAGCCACGGGGGCCCCACGAGGCAGGGGGUGCGCCCUAGGGGGUGGGCACGCCCCCCACCCUCGUGGGCAGCCCAUGUCUCCCCUGACGUGCACUCCAAGUUCCCUGGGUUGCUUUCCUUCCAAAAACAACUUCUCCAGUUGAUUUCGUUCCGUUCGUCUUCGUUUGAUAUUCCUUUUCUUCGAAACACUGAAAUAGGCAAAAAACAGCAAAUCUGGGUUGGGCCUCCGGUUAAUAGGUUAGUCCCAAAAGUAAUAUAAAAGUGGAAAAUAAAGCCCAAUAUUUCCCAAAAUAGUAGAUAAUAUAGCAUGAAGCAAUCAAAAAUUAUAGAUACGUUGGAGACGUAUCAGGCAUCCCCAAGCUUAAUUCCUGCUCGUCCUCGAGUAGGUAAAUGAUAAAAAGAUAAUUUUUGAUGUGGAAUGCUAGUUGGCAUAAUUUCAAUGUAAUUUCUCUUAAUUGUGGUAUGAAUAUUCAGAUCCAAAAGAUUCAAGACAAAAGUUCAUAUUGACAUAAAAAUAAUAAUACUUCAAGCAUACUAACUAAGCAAUCAUGUCUUCCCAAAAUAAUAUGGCCAAAGAAAGUUAUCCCUACAAAAUCAUAUAGUUUGGCUAUGCUCCAUCUUCACCACACAAAAUAUUUAAAUCAUGCACAACCCCUAUGACAAGCCAAGCAAUUGUUUCAUACUUUUGAUGUUCUCAAACUUUUUCAAUCUUCACGCAAUACAUGAGCGUGAGCCAUGGACAUAGCACUAUAGGUGGAAUAGAAUGGUGGUUGUGGAGAAGACAAAAAGGGAGAAUAUAGUCUGACAUCGACUAGGCGUAUCAACGGGCUAUGGAGAUGACCAUCAAUAGAUAUCAAUGUGAGUGAGUAGGGAUUGCCAUGCAACGGAUGCACUAGAGCUAUAAGUAUAUGAAAGCUCAACACAAGAAACCAGUGGGUGUGCAUCCAACUCGCUUGCUCACGAAGACCUAGGGCAUUUUGAGGAAGCCCAUCAUUGGAAUAUACAAGCCAAGUUCUAUAAUGAAAGAUUCUAUAUGAAAGUGACAACAUAGGAGACUCUCUAUCAUGAACAUCAUGGUGCUACUUUGAAGCACAAGUGUGGUAAAAGGAUAGUAGCAUUGUCCCUUUUAUUUUUUAUUUUUUAUUUGGCCUUCCUUUUUUUAUUUGGCCUUUCUUUUUUAUUUGGCCUUUCUUUUUUUAUUUGGCCUUUCUUUUUUUCUUUUUUUGGGACAAUGCUCUAUUGAAUGAUGAUCAUCACACUUCUAUUUAUUUACAACUCAAUGAUACAACUCGAUACUAGAGCAAAGUAUGACUCUAUAUGAAUGCCUACGGCGGUGUACCGGGAUGUGCAAUGAUGCAUGAGUGACAUGUAUGAAAGAAUUAUGAAUGGUGGCUUUGCCACAAAUACGAUGUCAACUACAUGAUCAUGCUAAGAAAUAUGACAAUGAUGAAUGUGUCAUGAUGAACGGAAUGGUGGAAAGUUGCGUGGCAAUAUAUCUCGGAAUGGCUAUGGAAAUGCCAUAAUAGGUAGGUAUGGUGGCUGUUUUGAGGAAGGUAUAUGGUGGGUAUAUGGUACCGGCGAAAGUUGCGCGGUACUAGAGAGGCUAGCAAUGGUGGAAGGGUGAGAGUGCGUAUAAUCCAUGGACUCAACAUUAGUCAUAAAGAACUCACAUACUUAUUGCAAAAAUCUACAAGUUAUCAAAGCAAAGUAUUACGCGCAUGCUCCUAGGGGGAUAUAUUGGUAGGAAAAGACCAUCGCUCUCCCCGACCGCCACUCAUAAGGAAGACAAUCAAUAAAUAAAUCAUGCUCCGACUUCAUCACAUAACGGUUCACCAUACGUGCAUGCUACGGGAAUCACAAGCUUCAACACAAGUAUUUCUCAAAUUCACAACUACUCUACUAGCAUGACUCUAAUAUCACCAUCCUCAUAUCUCAAAACAAUUAUCAAGCAUCAAACUUCUCAUAGUAUUCAACACACUCAUAAGAAAGUUUUAUUAUUCUUGAAUACCUAGCAUAUUAGGAUUUUAGGAAAAUUAUCAUGCUAUUUAAGACUCUCAGAAUGAUAUAAGUGAAGAAUGAGAGUUCAUCUAUUCCUUCAAAAUAAAACUACCGCCAUGCUCUAAAAGAUAUAAGUGAAGCACUAGAGCAAAUGACAAACUACUCCGAAAGAUAUAAGUGAAGAUCAAUGAGUAGUCGAAUAAUUAUGCAACUAUGUGAAGACUCUCUAACAUUUAAUAAUUUCAGAUCUUGGUAUUCUAUUCAAAUAGCAAGCAAAGCAAAAUAAAAUUACAUCUAAGAAUAGCAAACAUGUAAGGAAGCAAAAACUUAGGAUCAACCGAUACUAACCGAUAGUUGUUGAAGAAGAAAGAUGGGAUGCCAACCGGGGCAUCCCCAAGCUUAGACGCUUGAGACUUCUUGAAAUAUUAUCUUGGGGUGCCUUGGGCAUCUCCAAGCUUGAGCUUUUGUGUCUCCUUAAUUCCUCUCAUAUCACGGUCUCCCUAAAUCUCAAAAGCUUCAUCCACACAAAACUCAACAAGGACUCAUGAGAUAAGUUAGUAUAAACCAUUGCCAAAACAUUAUCAUACUCUACUGUAGCAAAUCACUAAAAUUAUUAUUCAACAUUGCAUACUAAAUUCCUCUGCAUAUUUAAUAGUCCUAUCCUCAAAUAGAAUCAUUAAAGAAGCAACCAUAUGCAAACAAUGCAAACAUAACAGCAAUCUGCCUAAACAGGAUAGUCUGUAAAGAAUGCUGCAGCAUCCAUACUUCCCUAGCUCCAAAAAUUAUGAAAUAAAAUUCCCACUGUAGUAAAUUUAUCAGAUCUUAAUAUGCAAAAGGUUUCAACAUUUUAUCACAUUCUAACUUUUCUAGGGAAUUAUUGCAACAGUGGUAAACUUUCUGUUUUCAAACAGCAACAUGUAUACUUGUAACAUAGGCAUAGUAAAGGCUAUCAAUGCCAAUUUUUUGAAAUAAAAGAUGCAAAACAUUGUUCUAAAUAACAGCAAUAAAAUCCUAACAAAAUAAAUUUAUGCUCCAAGCAAAACACAUAUCAUGUGGCGAAUAAAAAUAUAGCUCCAAGUAAAGUUACAGAUGAACGAAGACGAAGGAGGGGAUGCCUUCCGGGGCAUCCCCAAGCUUAGGCUCUUGGCUAUCCUUGAAUAUCAUCUUGGGGUGACCUUGGCAUCCCCAAGCUUAGGCUCUUGCCACUCCUUGUUCCAUAGUCCAUCGAAUCCUUACCCAAAACUUGAAAACUUCACAACACAAAACUUAAAGUAGAAAACUCGUAAGCUCUGUUAGUGUAAGAAAAUAAAUCACCACUUCAAGGUACUGUAAUGAAUUCAUUCUUUAGUUAUAUUGGUGUUAAACCUACUGUAUUCCAACUUCUCUGUGGUUUAUAAACUAUUUUACUAGCCAUAGAUUCAUCAAAAUAAGCAAACAACACAUCGAAAACAGAAUCUGUCAAAAACAGAAUAGUCUGUAGUAAUCUGGAUCAAACGUAUACUUCUGGAACUCAUAAAAUUCUCAAAUAAAUUUCUAGACCUGAGUAAUUUAUCUAUUAAUCAUCUUCAAAAAGAAUUAACUAAAUAUCACUUCCCAAAUAAAAAUGGCAGCAAUUCUCGUGAGCGCUAAAGUUUCUGUUUUUUACAGCAAGAUCAACAAGACUUUCCCCAAGUCUUCCCAACGGUUCUACUUGGCACAAACACUAAUUAAAUGCAUAAAACCACAUAUAAAAAGAGGCUAGAUGAAUUAUUUAUUACUAAACAGGAACAAAAAGCAAGGAAUAAAAAUAAAGUUGGGUUGCCUCCCAACAAGCGCUAUCAUUUAACGCCCCUAGCUAGGCAUGAUAAUGACAAUGAUGCUCACAUAAAAGAUAAGAAUUGAAAUAUAGAGAGAGCAUCAUGAAGAAUAUGACUAGCACAUUUAAGCCUAACCCACUUCCUAUGCAUAGGGAUUUUGUGAUCAAACAACUUAUGGGAACAAUAAUCAACUAGCAUAGGAAGGCAAAACAAGCAUAACUUCGAGAUUUUAAGCACAUAGAGAGGAAACUUGAUAUUAUUGCAAUUCCUACAAGCAUAUGUUCCUCCCUCAUAAUAAUUUUCAGUAGCAUCAUGAAUGAAUUCAACAAUAUAACCAGCACCUAAAGCAUUCUUUUCAUGAUCUACAAGCAUGCAAAAUUUACUACUCUCCACAUAAGCAAAAUUCUUCUCAUUAAUAGUAGUGGGAGCAAACUCAACAAAGUAACUAUCAUGGGAUUGAAAAUUGAAAUUAAGAUGACAAGUUUAAUUGUUAUCAUUAUUCUUUAAAGCAUACGUGUCAUCACAAUAAUCAUCAUAGAUAGGAGGCAUGCUUUCAUCAUAGUAAAUUUGCUCAUCAAACCUUGGGGGACUAAAAAUAUCAUCUUCAUCAUACAUAGCUUCCCCAAGCUUGUGUCUUUGCAUAUCAUUAGCAUCAUAGAUAUUCAAGGAAUUCAUACUAACAACAUUGCAAUCAUGCUCAUCAUUCAAAUAUUUAGUGCCAAAAUUUUUAUAGAUUUCUUCUUCUAGCACUUGAGCACAAUUAUCCUUUCCAUCAUACUCACGAAAGAUAUUAAAAAGGUGAAACGUAUGAGACAAACUCAAUUCCAUUUUUUUGUAAUUUUGUUUUAUAAACUAAACUAGUGAUAAAAUAAUAAACUAAAAGACUCGAUUGCCAGAUCUAAAGAUAUACCUUCAAGCGCUAACCUCCCCGGCAACGACGCCAGAAAAGAGCUUGGUAUCUACUACACAACCUUCUUCUUGUAGACGUUGUUGGGCCUCCAAGUGCAGAGGUUUGUAGGACAGUAGCAAAUUUCCCUCAAGUGGAUGACCUAAGGUUUAUCAAUCCGUAAGAGGCGUAGGAUGAAGAUGGUCUCUCUCAAGCAACCCUGCAACCAAAUAACAAAGAGUCUCUUGUGUCCCCAACACACCCAAUACAAUGGUAAAUUGUAUAGGUGCACUAGUUCGGCGAAGAGAUGGUGAUACAAGUGGUAAAUGGAUAGUAGAUAAUAGUUUUUGUAAUCUGAAAAUAUAAAAACAGCAAGGUAACGAAUGAUAAAAGUGAGCGUAAACGGUAUUGCAAUGUGUGGAAACAAGGCCUAGGGUUCAUACUUUCGCUAGUGUAAGUUCCCUCAACAAUACUAACAUAAUUGGAUCACAUAACUAUCCCUCAACAUGCAACAAAGAGUCACUCCAAAGUCACUAAUAGCGGAGAACGAACGAAGAGAUUAUGGUAGGGUAGGAAACCACCUCAAAGUUAUUCUUUCCAAUCAAUCCGUUGGGCUAUUCCUAUAAGUGUCACAUGAAGGAAAUAUGCCCUAGAGGCAAUAAUAAUGUUAUUAUUUUAUUUCCUUAUAUCAUGAUAAAUGUUUAUUAUUCAUGCUAGAAUUGUAUUAUCCGGAAACAUAAUACUUGUGUGAAUACAUAAACAAACCAAACGUCACUAGUAUGUCUCUACUUGACUAGCUCAUUAAUCAAAGAUGGUUAUGUUUCCUAACCAUAGACAUGUGUUGUCAUUUGAUUAACGGGAUCACAUUAUUAGGAGAAUGAUGUGAUUGACAUGACCCAUUCCAUUAGCUUAGCACCCGAUUGUUUAGUAUGUUGCUAUUGCUUUCUUCAUGACUUAUACAUGUUCCUAUGACUAUGAGAUUAUGCAACUCCCGUUUGCCGGAGGAACACUUUGUGUGCUACCAAACGUCACAACGUAACUGGGUGAUUAUAAAGGAGCUCUACAGGUGUCUCCAAAGGUACAUGUUGGGUUGGCGUAUUUCGAGAUUAGGAUUUGUCACUUCGAUUGUCGGAGAGGUAUCUCUGGGCCCUAUCGGUAAUGCACAUCACAUAAGCCUUGCAAGCAUUUCAACUAAUGAGUUAGUUGCGAGAUGAUGUAUUCCGAAACGAGUAAAGAGACUUGCUGGUAACGAGAUUGAACUAGGUAUUGAGAUAUCGACGAUCGAAUCUCGGGCAAGUAAAAUACCGAUGACAAAGGGAACAACGUAUGUUGUUAUGCGGUCUGACCGAUAAAGAUCUUCGUAGAAUAUGUAGGAGCUAAUAUGAGCAUCCAGGUUCCGCUAUUGGUUAUUGACCGGAGAUGUGUCUCGGUCAUGUCUACAUUGUUCUCGAACCCGUAGGGUCCGCACGCUUAAGGUUUCGAUGACAAUUAUAUUAUGAGUUUAUGAGUUUUGAUGUACCGAGGUUAGUUCGGAGUCCCGGAUGUGAUCAAGACAUAACGAGGAGUCUCGAAAUGGUCGAGACAUAAAGAUUGAUAUAUUAGACGGCUAUAUUCGGACACCGGAAGUGUUCCGGGUGAUUUCGGAGAAAACCGGAGAGCCGGAGGGUUACCGGAACCCUACCGGGAGAAGUGAUGGGCCAUAUGGGCCUUAGUGGAGAGAGAGAGGGUGGGCCGCGCGCCUCCUCCCCCAUGGUCCGAAUUGGACUAGGAGAGGGGGGGGGCGCCCCCCCUUUCCUUCUCCCUCCCCACUUCCUUCCCCCUCCUAGUAGGAGUCCUACUCCUACUAGGAGGAGGACUCCUCCUGGCGCACCAAUAGGGGCCAGCCGGCCUCCUCCCCUUGCUCCUUUAUAUACGGGGGCAGGGGGCACCCCUAGACACACAAGUUGAUCCACGUGAUCAUAUUCUUAGCUGUGUGCGGUGCCCCUUUCCACCAUAAUCCUCGAUAAUAUUGUAGCGGUGCUUAGGCGAAGCCCUGCGACGGUAGUACAUCAAGAUCGUCACCACGCCGUCGUGCUGAUGGAACUCUACCCCGACACUUUGCUGGAUCGGAGUCCGGGGAUCGUCAUCGAGCUGAAAGUGUGCUAAAACUCAGAGGUACCGUAGUUUCGGUGCUUGAUCGGUCGGGCCGUGAAGACGUACGACUACAUCAACCGCGUUGUGCUAACGCUUCCGCUGUCGGUCUACAAGGGUACAUAGAUCACACUCUCCCCUCUCAUUGCUAUACAUCACCAUGAUCUUGCGUGUGCGUAGGAAUUUUUUUGAAUUACUACGUUACCCAACAGUGGUAUCAGAGCCUAGGUUUUAUGUGUUGAUGUUAUAUGCACGAGUAGAACACAAGUGAGUUGUGGGCGAUAUAAGUCAUACUGCUUACCAGCAUGUCAUACUUUGGUUCGGCGGUAUUGUUGGACGAAGCGGCCCGGACCGACAUUACGCGUACGCUUACGCGAGACCGGUUUUCCCGACGUGCUUUGCACAAAGUUGGCUAGCGGGUGUCAGUUUCUCCAACUUUAGUUGAACCGAGUGUGGCUACGCCCGGUCCUUGCGAAGGUUAAAACAGCACCAACUUGAAAAACUAUUGUUGUGGUUUUGAUGCGUAGGUAAGAUUGGUUCUUGCUUAAGCCCGUAGCAGCCACGUAAAACUUGCAACAACAAAGUAGAGGAUGUCUAACUUGUUUUUGCAGGGCAUGUUGUGAUGUGAUAUGGUCAAGACAUGAUGCUAAAUUUUAUUGUAUGAGAUGAUCAUGUUUUGUAACCAAGUUAUCGGCAACUGGCAGGAGCCAUAUGGUUGUCGCUUUAUUGUAUGCAAUGCAAUUGCGCUGUAAUGCUUUACUUUAUCACUAAGCGGUAGUGAUAGUCGUGGAAGCAUAAGAUUGGCGAGACGACAACGAUGCUACGAUGGUGAUCAAGGUGUCGCGUCGGUGACGAUGGUGAUCACGACAGUGCUUCGAAGAUGGAGAUCACAAGCACAAGAUGAUGAUGGCCAUAUCAUAUCACUUAUAUUGAUUGCAUGUGAUGUUUAUGUUUUAUGCAUCUUAUCUUGCUUUGAUUGACGAUAGCAUUUUAAGAUGAUCUCUCACUAAUUAUCAAGAAGUGUUAUCCCUGAGUAUGCACCGUUGCGGAAGUUCUUCGUGCUGAGACACCACGUGAUGAUCGGGUGUGAUAGGCUCUACGUUCAAAUACAACGGGUGCAAAACAGUUGCACACGCAGAAUACUCAGGUUAAACUUGACGACCCUAGCAUAUACAGAUAUGGCCUCGGAACACGGAGACCGAAAGGUCGAACAUGAAUCAUAUAGUAGAUAUGAUCAACAUAAGUGAUGUUCACCAUUGAAAACUACUCCAUCUCACGUGAUGAUCGGACAUGGUUUAGUUGAUUUGGAUCACGUGAUCACUUAGAUGACUAGAGAGACGUCUGUCUAAGUGGGAGUUCUUAAGUAAUAUGAUUAGAUGAACUUAAAUUUAUCAUGAACUUAGUCCUGCUAGUAUUUUGGAAAUCAUGUUGUAGAUCAAUAGCUCGCGUUGUUGCUUCCCUGUGUUUAUUUUGAUAUGUUCCUAGAGAAAAUUGUGUUGAAAGAUGUUACUAGCAAUGAUGCGGAUUGGAUCCAUGAUCUGAGGUUUAUCCUCAUUGCUGCACAGAAGAAUUAUGUCCUUGAUGCACCGCUAGGUGACAGACCUAUUGCAGGAGCAGAUACAGACGUUAUGAACAUUUGGCUAGCUAAAUAUGAGGACUACUUGAUAGUUUAGUGCACCAUGCUUAACGGCUUAGAAUCGGGACUUCAAAGACGUUUUGAACGUCAUGGACCAUAUGAGAUGUUCCAGGAGUUGAAGUUAAUAUUUCAAACAAAUACCCGAGUUGAGAUAUAUGAAGUCUCCGACAAGUUCUAUAGCUAAAAGAUGGGGGAGAAUCGCUCAACUAGUGAGCAUGUGCUCAGAUUGUCUGGGUACUACAAUUGCUUGAAUCAAGUGGGAGUUAAUCUUCCAGAUAAGAUAGUGAUUAACAGAAUUCUCUGGUCACCAUCACCAAGUUAGUAGAACUUCGUGAUGAACUAUAGUAUGCAAGGGAUGACGAAAACGACUCCCGAGCUUUUCAUGAUGAUGAAAUCGAUGAAGGUAGAAAUCAAGAAAGAGCAUCAAGUGUUGAUGGUUGGCAAGAUCACUAGUUUCAAGAAAAGGGCAAAAGGAAAAAAAGGGGAACUUCAAGAAGAACAGCAAGCAAGUUGCUGCUCAAGUGAAGAAGCCCAAGUCUGGUCCUAAGCCUGAGACUAAGUGAUUCUACUGCAAAGGGACUGGUCACUGGAAGCGGAACUACCCAAGUAUUUGGCGGAUAAGAAGGAUGGCAAGGUGAACAAAGGUAUAUGUGAUAUACAUGUUAUUGAUGUGUACCUUACUAAUGCUCGCAGUAGCACCUGGGUAUUUGAUACUGGUUCUGUUGCUAACAUUUGCAACUCGAAACAGGGACUACAGAUUAAGCGAAGAUUGGCUAAGGACGAGGUGACGAUGCGCGUGGGAAAUGGUUCCAAAGUCGAUGUAAUCGCGGUCGGCACGCUACCUCUACAUCUACCUUCGUGAUUAGUAUUAGACCUAAAUAAUUGUUAUUUGGUGACAGCGUUAAGCAUGAACAUUAUAUUUGGAUCUUGUUUGAUGCGAGAUGCUUAUUCAUUUAAAUCAGAGAAUAAUGGUUGUUCUAUUUAUAUGAGUAAUAUCUUUAAUGGUCAUGCACCCUUAAAGAGUGGUCUAUUCUUAUUAAAUCUCGAUAGUAGUGACACACAUAUUCAUAAUGUUGAAACCAAAAGAUGCAGAGUUGAUAAUGAUAGUGCAACUUAUUUGUGGCACUGCCGUUUGGGUCAUAUCGGUAUAAAGCGCAUGAAGAAACUUCAUACUGAUGGGCUUUUGGAACCACUUGAUUAUGAAUCACUUGGUACUUGCGAACCGUGCCUUAUGGGUAAGAUGAGAAAAGCACCGUUCUCCGGUACUAUGGAGAGAGCAACAGAUUUGUUGGAAAUCAUACAUACAGAUGUAUGUGGUCCGAUGAAUGUUGAGGCUCGUGGCGGAUAUCGUUAUUUUCUCACCUUCACAGAUGACUUAAGCAGAUAUGGGUAUAUCUACUUAAUGAAGCAUAAGUCUGAAACAUUUGAAAAGUUCAAAGAAUUUCAGAGUGAAGUUGAAAAUCAUCGUAACAAGAAAAUAAAAUUCCUACGAUCUGAUCGUGGAGGAGAAUAUUUGAGUUACGAGUUUGGUGUACAUUUGAAACAAUGCGGAAUAGUUUCGCAACUCGUGCCACCCGGAACACCACAGCGUAAUGGUGUGCCCGAACGUCAUAACCGUACUUUAUUGGAUAUAGUGCAAUCUAUGAUGUUUCUUACCGAUUUACCACUAUAGUUUUGGGGUUAUGCAUUAGAGACAGCUGCAUUCACGUUAAAAAGGGCACCAUCUAAAUCCGUUGAGACGGCACCGUAUGAACUGUGGUUUGGCAAGAAACCAAAGUUGUCAUUUCUUAAAGUUUGGGGUUGCGAUGCUUAUAUGAAAAAAUUUCAUCCUGAUAAGCUCAAACCCAAAUCGGAGAAGUGCGUCUUCAUAGGAUACCCAAAAGAAAAUGUUGGGUACACCUUCUAUCACAUAUCCGAAGGCAAGAUAUUCGUUGCUGAGAAUGGAUCCUUUCCAGAGAAGGAGUUUCUCUCGAAAGAAGUGAGUGGGAGGAAAGUAGAAAACUUGAUAAGGUAAUUGUACCUUCUCCCUUAUUGGAAAGUAGUUCAUCACAGAAAUAUGUUCUUGUGACUACUACACCAAUUAGUGAGGAAGCUAAUGAUGAUGAUCAUCUAACUUCAGAUCAAGUUACUAUCGAAUCUCGUAGGUAAACCAGAGUGAGAUCCGCACCAGAGUGGUACGGUAAUCUUGUUCUGGAAGUCAUGUUACUAGACCAUGACGAACUUGCGAACUAUGAGGAAGCGAUGAUGAGCCCAGAUUCCGCGAAAUGGUUUGAGGCCAUGAAAUCUGAGAUAUGAUCCAUGUAUGAGAACAAAGUAUUGACUUUGAUGGAUUUGCUCGAUGAUCGGCAAGCCAUAGAAAAUAAAUGGAUCUUCAAGAGGAAGACGGACGCUGAUAGUAGUGUUACUAUCUACAAAGCUAGAAUUGUCGCAAAAGGUUUUCGACAAGUUCAAGGUGUUGACUACGAUGAGAGUUUCUCACUCAUAUCUAUGCUUAAGUCUGUCAGAAUCAUGUUAGCAAUUGCCGCAUUUUAUGAAAUCUGGCAAAUGGAUAAACAAAACUGCAUUCCUUAAUGGAUUUAUUAAAGAAGAGUUGUAUACGAUGCAACUAGAAGGUUUUGUUGAUCCUAAAGGUGUUAACUAAAUAUGCAAGCUCCAGCGAUCCAUCUAUGGACUGGUACAAGCAUCUCGGAGUUAGAAUAUAUGCUUUGAUAAGUUGAUCAAAGCAUAUAGUUUUAUGUAGACUUGCGGUGAAGCCUGUAUUUACAAGAAAGUGAGUGGGAGCACUAGAGCAUUCCUGAUAAGUAUAUGUGAAUGACAUAUUGUUGAUCAGAGAUAAUGUAGAAUUAUUCUGCAAAGCAUAAAGGAAUGUUUGAAAGGAGUUUUUUCAAAGAAAGACCUCGGUGAAGCUGCUUACAUAUUGAGCAUCAAGAUCUAUAGAGAUAGAUCAAGACGCUUGAUAAGUUUUUUCAAUGAGUACAUACCUUGACAAGUUUUUGAAGUAGUUCAAAAUGGAAUAGUCAAAGAAGGAGUUCUUGGCUGUGUUACAAAGGUGUGAAGUUGAGUAAGACUCAAAACCCGACCACGGCAGAAGAUAGAGAGAGAAUGAAAGUCAUUCCCUAUGCCUCAGCUAUAGGUUCUACAAAGUAUGCCAUGCUGUGUACCAGACCUAUUGUAUACCCUGCCCUGAGUUUGGCAAGGGAGUACAAUAGUGAUCUAGGAGUAGAUCACUGGACAUUGGUCAAAAACUAUCCUUAGUGGAAUAAAGAUAUGUUUCUCGAUUAUGGAGGUGACAAAAGGUUCGUCGUAAAGGGUUACGUCGAUGCAAAUUUUUGACACCGAUCUGGAUGACUCUAAGUCUCGAUCUAGAUAUACAUUGAAAGUGGGAGCAAUUAGCUAGAGUAGCUCCGUGCAGAGCAUUGUUGACAUAGAUAUUUGCAAAAUACUUACGGAUCUGAAUAUAACAGACCCGUUGACUAAACUUAUCUCACAAGCAAAACAUGAUCACACCUUAAUACUCUUUGGGUGUUAAUCACAUAGCGAUGUGAACUAGAUUACUGACUCUAGUAAACCCUUUGGGUGUUGGUCACAUAUCGAUGAGAACUAUGGGUGUUAACCACAUAAAGAUGUGAACUAUUGAUGUUAGAUCACAUGGCAAUGUGAACUAGAUUAUUGACUCUAGUGCAAGUGGGAGACUGAAGGAAAUAUGCCCUAGAGGCAAUAAUAAAGUUAUUAUUUAUUUCCUUAUUUCAUGAUAAAUGUUUAUUAUUCAUGCUAGAAUUGAAGGAAAUAUGCCCUAGAGGCAAUAAUAAAGUUAUUAUUUAUUUCCUUAUAAUCAUGAUAAAUGUUUAUUAUUCAUGCUAGAAUUGUAUUAACCGGAAACAUAAUACAUGUGUGAAUACAUAGACAAACAAAGUGUCACUAGUAUGCCUCUACUUGACUAGCUCGUUAAUCAAAGAUGGUUAUGUUUCCUAACCAUGAACAAUGAGUUGUUAUUUUAUUAACGGGAUCACAUCAUUUAGAGAAUGAUCUGAUUGACAUGACCCAUUCCAUUAGCUUAGCACCCAUCGUUUAGUAUGUUGCUAUUGCUUUCUUCAUGACUUAUACAUGUUCCUAUAACUAUGAGAUUAUGCAACUCCCGUUUACCGGAGGAACACUUUGGGUACUACCAAACGUCACAACGUAACUGGGUGAUUAUAAAGGAGUACUACAGGUGUCUCCAAAGGUACAUGUUGGGUUGGCGAUUUUCGAGAUUAGGUUUUGUCACUCCGAUUGUCGGAGAGGUAUCUCUGGGCCCUCUCGGUAAUGCACAUCACUUAAGCCUUGCAAGCAUUGCAACUAAAUGAGUUAGUUGCUGGAUGAUGUAUUACGGAGCGAGUAAAGAGACUUGCCGGCAACGAGAUUGAACUAGGUAUUGGAAUACCGACGAUCGAAUCUUGGGCAAGUAACAUACCGAUGACAAAGGGAACGACGUAUGUUGUUAUGCGGUCUGACCAAUAAAGAUCUUCGUAGAAUAUAUAGGAGCCAAUAUGGGCAUCCAGGUCCCGCUAUUGGUUAUGGACCGGAGACGUGUCUCGGUCAUGUCUACAUUGUUCUUGAACCCGUAGGGUCCGCACGCUUAAGGUUACGAUGACAGUUAUAUUAUGAGUUUAUGCAUUUUGAUGUACCGAAGGUUGUUCAGAGUCCCGGAUGUGAUCACGGACAUAACAAGGAGUCCCGAAAUGGUCAAGACAUAAAGAUUGAUAUAUUGGAAGCCUAUGUUUGGAUACCGGAAGUGUUCCGGGUGAAAUCGGGAUUUUACCGGAGUACCGGGAGGUUACCGGAACCCCCCGGGAGCUAAAUGGGCCAUGAUGGGCCUUAGUGGAAAAGAGAAGAGGCAGCCCUACAUGGGCCGCACGCCCCUCCCCUCCCUUGGUCCGAAUAGGACAAGGAGAGGAGGGCCGGCCCCUCUCUCUCUUUUCCCCCCUCCGCGAAUCCUAUUCCAACUAGGAUUGGGGNNNNNNNNNNNNNNNNNNNNNNNNNNNNNNNNNNNNNNNNNNNNNNNNNNNNNNNNNNNNNNNNNNNNNNNNNNNNNNNNNNNNNNNNNNNNNNNNNNNNNNNNNNNNNNNNNNNNNNNNNNNCUCCUUGGCCGGCCAGCCUCCCCCCUUUUGGUCCUUUAUAUACUGAGGCAGAGGCACCCUAGGACACACAAGUUGAUCAACGUGAUCUAUUCCUUAGCCGUGUGCGGCGCCCCCAGCCACCAUAGUCCUCGAUAAUACUGUAGCGGAGUUUAGGCGAAGCCCUGCUGCUAUAGUGUGACACUCCAAAAUUUUUAUUUGGUUUUCAGCAAAAACUUUGUGGUUUUUGAAAAGAGGCCAUUUAAAAUUUUCCAGAAAACCUUCCUCUUAAAAACUUCCUUUUCUUUGGCAAGGAUUUUAUUUUUCUUCAAACUAUGGUGUUUGAUCUUUUGAAACUUCUUCUCUGUUGGUUCCCUCUCAAAUUUAUUUUGGGAGUUUAAUAUUUUUUUCUUUUAAAAAGAAACUCUAUGAAAAUUUGGGAUUUUCAUAUCUUGGAAACCACCCAUGACUUUGUAUUUUGCCCAUGUGGUAAAACCCCUCCAAACCCCCCCCUCCUCCUUGUAAUCAACCUAAGUUCUCUGUCCCAACUAAUCCAAGCAAGUUUUGGAUUUUAUUCUAAUUUUCUUUCCCCUCAAAUCUUUUCUGCAAAUUAUUUGGAGCCUGAGAGAUUUUUCAAAGCAAGUACCCUUUUGCACUUGAGUUUUGACCUCAAACCAACUCUCCUGGAUGGUCCUUUGUACCCACAACCCAGAACCAUCUUGAUCCACUCCUCCUCUUUUCAAAUUUUUCAAAUUUCAGUCUCUGCAAGUUUGGACCAGAUUUGCCAAAUUUGGUGAAAUUCAUAUCUACACUUCUUCUAAAAUUCCACCAAAAUUCAGGCAGCCUACUGGAGCAAUGAGUAGCCACUCCACCAAGUUUCAGCUCAAGGAAAAAUCCCUAGAUGCCUAGAUCAUUCCGUCGAACACCUUGCAUGCACUGUUCUGUUCAUCUUCAGUUAAGUUCAGAAAUUCAGUGUCUUUUUUCCUUCGUCAGACUCGGUCACGCGGCCACAGUGUGCCCUGGCGCGUUGCACGCAGCCUCUUCCCCUUGACCAGCACCCCGCACGCACGCUUGGCCGAUUCCUGGCGUCGGUAGCGACGAGCCUCGCCGGUGUUGGAAGCUUCUGCGGUGGCUGCACCUUCCGUGGCGGCCAGCGAGGGCCCGAGCCCGCUCGCCACGCCACCCGGCGCCGCCCAACGCCCCCUGGCUCUCCGCGUGUCCCUGCCAUGCCAACACACGCCCGUGGCACCGUCGUCGUGGCCCGGCAAGCACGGAACGUGCUCCCUGCCGCCGACGGGCCGCACCACCCCCGUUCCGUCGAGCUCACCCUAAACACCCAAAUCCCGGCUAGUUUAGCACCCAAACGGACCCAGUGAACCCCCACGACGGCGCUCGACCCCUAAACCUCCCCGACCAAAGCACUGCGCCGCCGUAACCUUCACCGGAGAUCCCCGUUCACGGCCACCGCCUCGGAUCGCCUAUAAAAAGGACCCUGAGCUCGCUCACGACCCCCACACCCUCACUGCACCUCUCCAAGACCCUGCCAAGCCACCAGGAGGACCUCGAGGAGGUCUCCUCCCCUGACUCCGGCCGCCCCAUUCCGCCUCGGCCUCCACCUCGAUUCGCUCCGGUGAGGCCGUCGCCGGCGCCCAAACCCCGUCAGUUACCCCCUCUAGCUACCAGAAGUCUAACCCCCUCCUCAAUUUGGCCUUCGCAGCUCCAUCCGACGAGACCCUCGACCACCCGAACCGUCGUCCACCGGAGCAAGGCUCGCCGUCGACGUGGUGCUCGCCGACCGCCACCACCACCACCAACCGACGUGGAAGGGCGCCCUGAACACGGAGGUACCACUCCGAUCUUCCUGCCUCGCCGUGGAUCGCCGCCGGCAACCACCGCGGCUCUCGGGCGCCGACGAGCUUCGUCCCCCGUUUGAAAGUUUAAACCUGACGAGUGGGACCCGCCCAUCAGCCUCUCAGAUCCUUUUAAACGAAUUGUUUUCUGAAAACGCCUUCGGGCAAAAUACGCUUUCCCCUCUGGGCUGGCGUAUUCAAGACUGGAACGUUUUCUGUUUUUAUAAGCUAGCCCCUGGAAAUCUUCUGUUUCACUACAGAUGAGUCCCUGGACAAAAACCUUUAUAACUUUUAAACAGAAAAGUAUUUUUGAUUGAUCCUUUUUCUGUCCUCUUUAAAAUUUUGUCUAGUUUUUUAUUAGAUUUAUUUGAAAAAUAUUUGGAAUACUUUUUGUGCACCUCUUGGUAUUUACGAUAGCGCAUAUAUUUUCUUUAUACCGUAGAUACCGAAGGAGGUGACGGAGCCGCGAACUUCACCGAACUAGGCUCCGACUACUCCGAACCAGGCAAGCAUGUUCGAACUUUUGAUAUGAUGAUUGUUUUGGCAUGUUUGCAUUAAGUAGUUUAUGGCAUGUUGAUGAACAUACCGACGAAUGUCCUGUUUCCUGAGAUGAUGAGGCAAGUGAGUUUCGAAAAUCCAUGAGUGGAUGGAUGUGAGUAUGCAUGGCCAUGUGUUGGCAUGAGGAUGGGUAAGAUGGCAGUGUUGUAGCAUGCCAGGCUUAUGCCAGACUAUGUGACUUCAAUGUCAACUCGUAUCAUUCCAGUUCCUUCCAUUCUUCCUUACUUGUACUACCACAUGUUUUCCGCAAGGAAUAUGGCUUAGUAAGUUGUAAACCGCUUUCCUGGUACACACCAAAAAGGAGAGGCCGUGAUGAUGGUUCCAUGGCCCUGGAUUAAAGCCAGUCAUCCGGUCAGGGGGCAUGGGUGUUUCCGGUUGGGACCGAGAGGGGGGCACCCCUUAGAGCGCGCGUAUAUAAAUUUGAUCCCAUGCUAUUCGAGAUUGUAAUCUCCCCGUCUCAAAAGUUUUUCUUGGACGAUGUCUAGGGUGAUUCCUAGCAUCGAGAGGUAGGAUGGGUGUGUACUGGUUAGCUGUGUUUUCUUCCGAAAUACCGUAAACGGAACUAGUCCUUCGUGACUACGGAAAUCCGUUGGCUGUGGGAAAAAUCUUGUACAAACUCUGCAGAGUCAUAUAUUCCUUCGAAUCAUCUAUUCCAUGUCCAAGUUCGAUAUUAACUUAUCUUGACCAAAUGUCAGUUUUGAUGACAGAGACUCCGGUGAACCGCAUGAGUGCUAAGUCCGGUUAAAUGAUUAUUCCUGUGGAUGGACUAACCCGUGUAUUCUCAUGAAUUGAAUAUUUAUUAUGAGCAUUAUUUCCUUGUGAAUAAAAGCCCUUUAUGUGGUGUCGCUAAGACGCCCGACUGUGGCAUCUCUUUUAAAGCCCUUUCUGUGAUGUCGCCUCGACGUCCGACUAUGGCAUUCCUUUUAAAGCCCUUUAUGUGGUGUCGCUAAGAUGCCCGACUGUGGUAUUUCUUUUAAAGCCCUUUCUGUGAUGUCGCCCCGACGUCCGACUGUGGCAUUUCUCUUAAAGCCCUUUAUGUGGUGUCGCUAAGACGCCCGACUGUGGUAUUUCUUUUAAAGCCCUUUCUGUGAUGUCGCCCCGACGUCCGACUGUGGCAUUUCUUUUAAAGCCCUUUAUGUGGUGUCGCUAAGACGCCCGACUGUGGUAUUUCUUUUAAAGCCCUUUCUGUGAUGUCGCCCCAACGUCCGACUGUGGCAUUUCUUUUAAAGCCCUUUAUGUGGUGUCGCUAAGACGCCCGACUGUGGCAUCAUUUCCUUAUAUUUAUUUGUUCACCUUUCGAGGCGUCGCUUCAGACACCCGAUCGGUCUUCAUUUAUGUUUUGUGGGAUUUCAGGCGGACUACCGCCGUUUCCCUUUUACUUACCUCGUUAUGCUAAUUUUUGAAUGUACAUUGGUGAAUUAAUCAUGACGCAUUCAUGCAUGCAUUUGUUAUAUCUUACGUCUGAACUGUCUUGCGAGUACUUUCAAAGUACUCACUGGCUUGUUGAUUUGGCCAGAUGCUGGCGAAGGCGAUCUCAUGGAUGAAGAAUUUGAUAGCGAGUCCGACGCCUAGAGGAGUCCCAGUCAGUCUCGUACGACCCUGGAUUUGGUCACUGUAUUAUAUCCGCUUCCGCUACCAAAUAAAUUCAUCGAGCCUCACCUCGACGCUCAAUGAGAUGACAGUUUUAGAGACUUGUAUCUCUCUCCCCGCUGUGUUUCUCCACCACCGCCCUGUCCUCGAGUCAGUAGUAUGCCUCCACACCACUGUGUCAUGUCCGCCAUUAUGUAUAUUUAUUGGCGUGCUUGUAAUAAUUUGGUUGAGCAACCGUAGUUCGACCCUGUAAUAUAUUUUAUGCUACUGGCUUAUUGUAUCAAGAAUUUGUCUACCAGUGAGGAGGAUUUCUCUCAUACUGGACUCAAAAGAUUGGUUUCUCAAUAAAUAUUUUUAUUGGAAAACCGGUCGUGACAAGCUUGGUACCAGAGCCAGGCUGACUGUAGGAAGCCACUAGGUGCGAUCGCUAAUUGGUUAUUAGCUUGAUUGAGCCUUUUCAUAUUUUCUUGAUUGUAGUCAUUUUCUGUCAGUCAGCAUAAAUUUAUGAUCUGACCUUGCAGAUUUUUUGCCUACUUUUGUAGAUGGCUGACAACAGCUGCGAGUCUCAGACCUUCGCCAACGUGCCCGAUGGGUUCGUCAAGCUUCUUUCCUUCAUCGUUCAGGUCGCGAUGGGGCCAUCUGUGCGCCCUGUCUUCACACUCUGCCAGCACCGAGUCAACGACAGUCUGACCAUGCACCAGGCCGCGGUGCAGUUCAAGGGAGGGCGUGGUGAGUUACGCCGCUUCCGGUUCUUGGGAAGAGCCAUGCCUACGGAGAGGCAUGCCAUGCAGAUGGCAGCCCGCGAGGCGAUAGCUCGUCUCAGGGAUGUCCUCCCCGUGAUGAAGACUCGUCGUUACCGUUAUCUUCCAUGCCAUGUGCCUUACACCUGUCACUACGCAUUCUCCUGCCCCAGAGGAGAACGAGACGAGGCUUUUGAGAUGCUCAUUGAGUAUCUCCGGGCCCUGGAGGCAGCCUUCGACAACCUGGUGGACGACUUCGUGGCUGCCCGCAUGGACUCAGUUCAUGGCUGUGCUGCCAACAGGAGGGAGCUCCUACCCACCGCACCGCCACUGACUUUGGUCUCGUCCUCAGCAUCUUAUACGCCUACUCGUCGCCUACCUUCUACAGAAGAAUUCAACCAAGUCAUUGCACCCACUCCAGUGCGCACUGCACCACCCUUCGCGCCCACUUCUGUUCGUGUUGUUCCGCCCCUGGCACCCGCUCCGUCCACUCUGCGCAACACUACACGUAUGGAGCCUAUUAGCGAGGAGGAAGUCGAGUCCCCAACCUCGCUACGCCUCGCCCUCGGUAGGGCAAAGGAGGUCGUCAACAUCUCCGCCUGAGUACGCUUAGCCGCCAUGUAAUGUACCGCUUUGUAUGAUAUGUUUAUAUGUACAUAGGUUGUGAGAAGUAGCCUGUUUGCGCAUCAUGUAGGAUCUGGAGAAGUGCACUAGCCUAAAUAACAUGUCAGUAUUAUGUACGCAUAUCCUGAGUGAUGUAUUGUAUAAUUACCGCCCACGUGUAAGAUAUGUAAUGAGCAGUCCUUCUCCGUGCGCAAGUCGAUUUGUUUUUCUUAAGUAAGCCUGGUUAUUUAAUUUUAUUUGCCAGCUUUAUGCAUUUAUGGAUUUGUUUUUGCGACUCUUUCCGCUUUUCUUAUGGGUUUUACAAAUAUAUCCCCAGAGUGAAAAAUGUCUCGUCCUUGGACUCGCUCCAUGCUAACUCCACCAGAGGAAAAUUAUGAUACACAACCCAGCAACGAGUUCACUCAGGGACAGUCAAGCCAACAGGGCAGUGAAUCGGCACUUUCACAAAUGUGCCGCCUUUAUGAGCAGAGUCAGCAACAACAUCGGGAAAUGAUGAACCAAGUCAUCAACAUGGGAAAUCACCAUGGACAGUAUCAGCAGCAUUCCAAGUUAUCUGAGCUACAGAAGACCCGUCCCCAAACAUUUUCUCAGACUGACAAGCCUCUUGAAGCCGAGGAUUGGCUUCGAGAUAUGGAGAGAAAAUUAAUUAUUGCAAAAUGUUCAGAUCUCGAGAAAGUACUAUAUGCUCCACACUAUCUCACAGGAGCAGCUGCAUCAUGGUGGGAGAAUUUUCUGCACAUGCACCCCAACGAAAAUGAUAUAACCUGGGAUGAUUUCAAGGAAGGUUUCCGUGGUGCACACAUUCCCAAGAGUAUUAUGAAAAUUAAGAAGAGAGAGUUCGAUGACCUCAAACAAAGGAACAUGACAGUGUCAGAAUACAACGGUCAAUUUACUCUAUUGUCCCGCUAUGCCAAUGAAGAACGUAUGUCUGAAAGCAAGAAGAUGGAGAAAUUCCUUGACGGUCUGGCGCCCGCGCUUAAAUGCCAACUGGUAGUUCACACUUUUCCAGAUUUUAAGACACUAGUGGACAAAGCUAUUACUCUGGAAAAUGAGAGACGUAGCUUGGAGGAUUUACGUAAGCGAAAAAGAGACCAGACUACUCUUGCACGCAACCACCGAAGCAGGACAGAUUUUCAAAAAGGUGGGACACACAAACCUACAACAAACAUCUCUCGCCCAACCAAGAAUUUCCAUGCAAGUUACAAAGAGUUCACAUAUCGCCCAGGCGUUACUUGCUACGCUUGUGGAGAAGAAGGGCACUACGCCAAACAGUGCCCCAAGCCAAGGAACUCGACCUCGAAGCCAAACAAUGGUGGAAAUAAUUCAGCGCCCAAGUGCAACAAUUUCAACCCCAACAACAACCACAGGAAGGGUCAUCUAAACCACGUGACCAAAGAAGAAGCACAAAAUGCUCCGGAUAUCAUACUCGGUACGUUUCCUGUCAACACAAUACCUGCAACAGUUUUGUUUGAUUCUGGAGCUUCUCACUCAUUCAUUUUGAAAAGUUUUGCUUUGCAAAAUAAUUUUUCGAUGUUUCCCUUGGAAAAAUCCAUAAUCAUCAAGUCCCCUGGGAUUCAGCAAGUUACUCAGAGUUACUGUCAGAAUGUGGUCAUUGAGUUCGAAGGAUUGAAUUUUUUUGCCAAUCUUAUUGUGUUGGAAAAUAAAGGACUGGAUGUCAUCCUAGGGAUGGACUGGUUAACCACCAACAAAGGUUUUAUUGACCGUUUCAACCGGACCGUAAUUCUCACGCACCACCACGGGAAGACAAUAAAAGUAUCAGCCAAGGAAAGAAAAAUACCCCGGCAGCCGAGAUUGAAUAAGGUGGACGUUUCUGAGUUAAGCAAGGUUCCAGUAGUAUGUGAAUUUCCAGACGUAUUUCCCGAAGAACUACCAGGCAUGCCACCAGACCGAGAAAUAGAAUUCAGCAUUGAGCUAGCACCAGGAACCACCCCCAUAUACAAGAAACCAUACAGAAUGGCACCAUCCGAGUUGAUCGAGUUGAAGAAACAAAUAAAGGAAUUACUGGACAAGGGAUACAUUCGAGCCAGCUCCUCACCUUGGGGAUCACCAAUUUUAUUUGCCAAAAAGAAGGAUGGAACACUAAGAUUGUGCAUAGACUACCGAGCACUUAACAUGGUCACAGUCAAGAACAAAUACCCGAUGCCACGAAUAAAUGAUUUAUUUGAUCAGCUCGCUCAGGCCAAGGUAUUCUCAAAGAUUGACUUAAGGUCAGGAUACCAUCAAUUAAAAGUGCGAACAGAAGAUAUCCCCAAAACAGCCUUCACCUCCAGAUAUGGACUAUAUGAGUUCACAGUUAUGCCUUUUGGAUUAACAAACGCCCCCGCAUAUUUUGUUCACCUCAUGAACAAAGUAUUUAUGAAGUUUAUGGACAAGUUCGUUGUGGUAUUUAUCGAUGAUAUUCUGAUAUACUCCAAAAGACCAGAAGAGCACGCGGAACAUCUCAGGAUUGUGCUAGGAGAACUCAGGAAACAUCAAUUGUAUGCCAAGUUCAGCAAGUGCGAAUUUUGGCUAAGACAAGUAGGCUUUCUAGGUCACGUGCUGACCCAAGACGGUAUCACAGUGGACCCAGAGAAAGUUAGGGCCAUACUUGACUGGAAGGCACCAGCCAGCGUAACGGACAUACGAAGUUUCUUGGGAAUGGCAGGAUACUACCGCAGAUUUAUUGAAGGAUUCUCCACUCUAGCCAAGCCAAUGACGCAGUUACUCAAGAAGGACAAGAAAUUUGAAUGGACAGAAGCCUGCGAAAAAAGUUUCCAAGAGUUAAAACAGAAAUUAACCACAGCACCGGUAUUAAUUGUGCCAGACAUACACAAAAACUUUGAGGUGUAUUGUGACGCAUCUCGAAAAGGUCUCGGGUGCGUGUUGAUGCAAGAAGGCAAGGUUGUCGCAUACGCUUCACGACAACUCCGCAAGCAUGAGGAAAAUUAUCCCACUCAUGACUUAGAAAUGGCAGCAGUCAUUCAUGCACUUAAGGAAUGGAGGCAUUUCUUACUUGGGAAUCGAUGUGAAAUAUACACGGACCAUAAAAGUCUCAAAUAUAUUUUCACACAGCCAGAACUAAACUUACGGCAACGACGCUGGUUGGAAUUGGUAAAGGAUUAUGAUGUUGGUAUCCACUAUCAUCCAGGGAAAGCAAAUGUAGUGGCCAAUGCUCUUAGUCGAAACCCCAGCUCCGACGAAAACAGUCUGCAAAGUUUGAGACCCGAAUUCCAACAAGAAUUUGCCAAACUCAACUUGUUAAUGAUCGCGGGAGGCACCAUAUCAAACUUGGAAAUAAAGCCCGACCUUGUGGAGAGAAUUAAAGAAGCUCAGCCUGGUCACCCCAGCAUUGAAGGAAUUAAAAGAAAGGUGAGUAUGGUCAAGGCCUCGGAAUUUGUCAUAGGCGAUGAUGGAAUAUUAUGGUACGGGGACAGACUCUGCGUGCCAAACAUAGAGGAUCUCAGACAGCAAAUCCUAGCUGAAGCACACACCACUCCAUAUUCAAUCCACCCUGGAGGAACCAAAAUGUAUAAGGAUAUUCAGGAAAGAUUUUGGUGGCACGGUAUGAAGAGGGACAUAGCCACAUUCGUUGCAUGUUGCGAUUCUUGUCAACGCAUAAAAGUUGAGCAUCAAAAACCAGCCGGACUACUGCAACCAAACAAAAUACCUGAGUGGAAAUGGGAUGAAAUAGGGAUGGAUUUUAUUGUCGGACUACCUCGGUCACGACACGGGAAUGAUGCCAUAUGGGUCAUCACCGAUAGAUUAACCAAGGUGGCACAUUUCAUUCCAGUGAAGACAACCUACAACACUCAGAAGCUUGCCAGGAUUUAUCUCUCCCGUAUAGUUUGUCUACAUGGAGUCCCGAAGACUAUAAUAUCUGACAGAGGCACUCAAUUUGUCUCGAGAUUCUGGGAUCAUUUACAACAGGCUCUGGGAACUCAAUUGGCCUUCAGCAUAGCCUAUCAUCCCCAGACUGAUGGACAGACUGAACGCGUAAACCAAAUUUUAGAAGACAUGCUGAGAGCAUGUGUCCUCACCUAUGGAACCAGUUGGGAAGAAAGCCUGCCAUAUGCCGAGUUCGCAUACAACAACAGUUACCAGGCCAGCCUGCAAAUGGCACCUUUUGAAGCCCUAUACGGACAGAGAUGUCGUACCCCGCUAAAUUGGUCAGAGACCGGAGACAGCCGUAUCUUCGGCCCAGACGUGCUCAAAGAAGCCGAGGAAAAAGUCAAGCUAAUCAGGGACCGACCCAAGACCGCUCAAAGCCGACAGAAGAGUUAUUACGAUCAGAAACAUCGUGGGGUCAAUUUUGAACCCGGUGAAUUUGUGUACAUACGAGUAUCACCUAUGAGGGGACUGCAACGGUUUAAGAUUAAAGGAAAGUUAGCACCAAGAUUCAUUGGACCAUUCUGCAUAGUGGCACGAAGAGGCACUGUAGCCUACCAGCUAGACUUACCCGAAGACUUGUCCGACAUUCACGACGUGUUCCACGUCUCUCAAUUAAGGAAGUGCGUAAGCAAACCAGAGAAACAAGUAUUCCAUGAGAACAUUGACGUGCAGCCAGACCUCACUUAUCGGGAACGCCCAGUAAAAAUAUUAGAGGAGUCUGAAAGGAGAACCCGACAGAAGACCAUCAAGUUUUUCAGAGUUCAGUGGAGCAACCACACCGAAAGCGAAGCAACUUGGGAAAGAGAGGAUUUUCUUCGGACAGAACAUCCAUACUUAUUUAAGGAUCAGCUGGAAUCUCGGGGACGAGAUUUUUCCUAAGGGGGUAGGUGUUGUGACACUCCAAAAUUUUUAUUUGGUUUUCAGCAAAAACUUUGUGGUUCUUGAAAAGAGGCCAUUUAAAAUUUUCCAAAAAACCUUCCUCUUAAAAACUUCCUUUUCUUUGGCAAGGAUUUUAUUUUUCUUCAAACUAUGGUGUUUGAUCUUUUGAAACUUCUUCUCUGUUGGUUCCCUCUCAAAUUUAUUUUGGGAGUUUAAUCUUUUUUUCUUUUAAAAAGAAACUCUAUGAAAAUUUGGGAUUUUCAUAUCUUGGAAACCACCCAUGACUUUGUAUUUUGCCCAUGUGGUAAAACCCCUCCAAAACCUCCCCUCCUCCUUAUAAUCAACCUAAGUUCUCUGUCCCAACUAAUCCAAGCAAGUUUUGGAUUUUAUUCUAAUUUUCUUUCCCCUCAAAUCUUUUCUGCAAAUUAUUUGGAGCCUGAGAGAUUUUUCAAAGCAAGUACCCUUUUGCACUUGAGUUUUGACCUCAAACCAACUCUCCUGGAUGGUCCUUUGUACCCACAACCCAGAACCAUCUUGAUCCACUCCUCCUCUUUUCAAAUUUUUCAAAUUUCAGUCUCUGCAAGUUUGGACCAGAUUUGCCAAAUUUAGUGAAAUUCAUAUCUACACUUCUUCUAAAAUUCCACCAAAAUUCAGGCAGCCUACUGGAGCAAUGAGUAGCCACUCCACCAAGUUUCAGCUCAAGGAAAAAUCCCUAGAUGCCUAGAUCAUUCUGUCGAACACCUUGCAUGCACUGUUCUGUUCAUCUUCAGUUAAGUUCAGAAAUUGAGUGUCGUUUUUCCUUCGUCAGACUCGGUCACGCGGCCACAGUGCGCCCUGGCGCGUUGCACACAACCUCUUCCCCUUGACCAGCACCCCGCACGCACGCUUGGCCGAUUCCUGGCGUCGGUAGCGAUGAGCCUCGCCGGCGUUGGAAGCUUCUGCGGUGGCUGCACCUUCCGUGGCGGCCAGCGAGGGCCCGAGCCCGCUCGCCACGCCACCCGGUGCCGCCCAACGCCCCCUGGCUCUCCGCGUGUCCCUGCCAUGCCAACGCACGCCCGUGGCACCGUCGCCGUGGCCCGGCAAGCACGGAAUGUGCUCCCUGCCGCCGACGGGCCGCGCCACCCCCGUUCCGUCGAGCUCGCCCUAAACACCCAAAUCCCGGCUAGUUUAGCACCCAAACGGACCCAGUGAACCCCCACGACGGCGCUCGACCCCUAAACCUCCCCGACCAAAGCACUGCGCCGCCGUAACCUUCACCGGAGAUCCCCGUUCACGGCCACCGCCUCGGAUCGCCUAUAAAAAGGACCCCGAGCUCGCUCACGACCCCCACACCCUCACUGCACCUCUCCAAGACCCUGCCAAGCCACCAGGAGGACCUCGAGGAGGUCUCCUCCCCUGACUCCGGCCGCCCCGUUCCGCCUCGGCCUCCACCUCGAUUCGCUCCGGUGAGGCCGUCGCCGGCGCCCAAACCCCGUCAGUUACCCCCUCUAGCUACCAGAAGUCUAACCCCCUCCUCAAUUUGGCCUUCGCAGCUCCAUCCGACGAGACCCUCGACCACCCGAACCGCCGUCCGCCGGAGCAAGGCUCGCCGUCGACGUGGUGCUCGCCGACCGCCACCACCACCACCAACCGACGCGGAAGGGCGCCCUGAACACGGAGGUACCCUCCGAUCUUCCUGCCUCGCCGUGGAUCGCCGCCGGCGACCACCGCGGCUCUCGGGCGCCGACGAGCUUCGUCCCCCGUUUGAAAGUUUAAACCUGACGAGUGGGACCCGCCCGUCAGCCUCUCAGAUCCUUUUAAACGAAUCAUUUUCUGAAAACGCCUUCGGGCAAAAUACGCUUUCCCCUCUGGGCUGGCGUAUUCAAGACUGGAACGUUUUCUGUUUUUAUAAGCUAGCCCUUGGAAAUCUUCUGUUUCACUACAGAUGAGUCCCUGGACAAAAACCUUUAUAAGUUUUAAACAGAAAAGUAUUUUUGAUUGAUCCUUUUUCUGUCCUCUUUAAAAUUUUGUCUAGUUUUUUAUCAGAUUUAUUUGAAAAAUAUUUGGAAUACUUUUUGUGCACCUCUUGGUAUUUACGAUAGCGCAUAUAUUUUCUUUAUACCGUAGAUACCGAAGGAGGUGACGGAGCCGCGAACUUCACCGAACUAGGCUCCGACUACUCCGAACCAGGCAAGCAUGUUUGAACUUUUGAUAUGAUGAUUGUUUUGGCAUGUUUGCAUUAAGUAGUUUAUGGCAUGUUGAUGAACAUACCGACGAAUGUCCUGUUUCCUGAGACGAUGAGGCAAGUGAGUUUCGAAAAUCCAUGAGUGGAUGGAUGUGAGUAUGCAUGGCCAUGUGUUGGCAUGAGGAUGGGUAAGAUGGCAGUGUUGUAGCAUGCCAGGCUUAUGCCAGACUAUGUGACUUCAAUGUCAACUCGUAUCAUUCCAGUUCCUUCCAUUCUUCCUUCCUUGUACUACCACAUGUUUUCCGCAAGGAAUAUGGCUUAGUAAGUUGUAAACUGCUUUCCUGGUACACACCAAAAAGGAGAGGCCGUGAUGAUGGUUCCAUGGCCCUGGAUUAAAGCCAGUCAUCCGGUCAGGGGGCAUGGGUGUUUCCGGUUGGGACCGAGAGGGGGGCACCCCUUAGAGCGCGCGUAUAUAAAUUUGAUCCCAUGCUAUUCGAGAUUGUGAUCUCCCCGUCUCAAAAGUUUUUCUUGGACGAUGUCUAGGGUGAUUCCUAGCAUCGAGAGGUAGGAUGGGUGUGUACUGGUUAGCUGUGUUUUCUUCCGAAAUACCAUAAACGGAACUAGUCCUUCGUGACUACGGAAAUCCGUUGGCUGUGGGAAAAUUUUUGUACAAACUCUGCAGAGUCAUAUAUUCCUUCGAAUCAUCUAUUCCAUGUCCAAGUUCGAUAUUAACUUAUCUUGACCAAAUGUCAGUUUUGAUGACAGAGACUCCGGUGAACCGCAUGAGUGCUAAGUCCGGUUAAAUGAUUAUUCCUGUGGAUGGACUAAUCUGUGUAUUCUCAUGAAUUCAAUAUUUAUUAUGAGCAUUAUUUCCUUGUGAAUAAAAGCCCUUUAUGUGGUGUCGCUAAGAUGCCCGAUUGUGGCAUCUCUUUUAAAGCCCUUUCUGUGAUGUCGCCUCGACGUCCGACUAUGGCAUUCCUUUUAAAGCCCUUUAUGUGGUGUCGCUAAGACGCCCGACUGUGGUAUUUCUUUUAAAGCCCUUUCUGUGAUGUCGCCCCGACGUCCGACUGUGGCAUUUCUCNNNNNNNNNNNNNNNNNNNNNNNNNNNNNNNNNNNNNNNNNNNNNNNNNNNNNNNNNNNNNNNNNNNNNNNNNNNNNNNNNNNNNNNNNNNNNNNNNNNNNNNNNNNNNNNNNNNNNNNNNNNNNNNNNNNNNNNNNNNNNNNNNNNNNNNNNNNNNNNNNNNNNNNNNNNNNNNNNNNNNNNNNNNNNNNNNNNNNNNNNNNNNNNNNNNNNNNNNNNNNNNNNNNNNNNNNNNNNNNNNNNNNNNNNNNNNNNNNNNNNNNNNNNNNNNNNNNNNNNNNNNNNNNNNNNNNNNNNNNNNNNNNNNNNNNNNNNNNNNNNNNNNNNNNNNNNNNNNNNNNNNNNNNUGUCGCUAAGACGCCCGACUGUGGUAUUUCUUUUAAAGCCCUUUCUGUGAUGUCGCCCCGACGUCCGACUGUGGCAUUUCUUUUAAAGCCCUUUAUGUGGUGUCGCUAAGACGCCCGACUGUGGUAUUUCUUUUAAAGCCCUUUCUGUGAUGUCGCCCCAACGUCCGACUGUGGCAUUUCUUUUAAAGCCCUUUAUGUGGUGUCGCUAAGACGCCCGACUGUGGCAUCAUUUCCUUAUAUUUAUUUGUUCACCUUUCGAGGCGUCGCUUUAGACACCCGAUCGGUCUUCAUUUAUGUUUUGUGGGAUUUCAGGCGGACUACCGCCGUUUCCCUUUUACUUACCUCGUUAUGCUAAUUUUUGAAUGUACAUUGGUGAAUUAAUCAUGACGCAUUCAUGCAUGCAUUUGUUAUAUCUUACGUCCGAACUGUCUUGCGAGUACUUUCAAAGUACUCACUGGCUUGUUGAUUUGGCCAGAUGCUGACGAAGGCGAUCUCAUGGAUGAAGAAUUUGAUAGCGAGUCCGACGCCUAGAGGAGUCCCAGUCAGUCUCGUACGACCCUGGAUUUGGUCACUGUAUUAUAUCCGCUUCUGCUACCAAAUAAAUUCAUCGAGCCUCACCUCGACGCUCGAUGAGAUGACAGUUUUAGAGACUUGUAUCUCUCUCCCCGCUGUGUUUCUCCACCACCGCCCUAUCCUCGAGUCAGUAGUAUGCCUCCACACCACUGUGUCAUGUCCGCCAUUAUGUAUAUUUAUUGGCGUGCUUGUAAUAAUUUGGUUGAGCAACCGUAGUUCGACCCUGUAAUAUAUUUUAUGCUACUGGCUUAUUGUAUCAAGAAUUUGUCUACCAGUGAGGAGGAUUUCUCUCAUACUGGACUCAAAAGAUUGGUUUCUCAAUAAAUAUUUUUAUUGGAAAACUGGUCAUGACAUGUAGUGCAUCAAGAUCAUCACCACGCCGUCGUGCUGACGAAACUCUUCCCCGACACUUUGCUGGAUCGGAGUCCGGGGAUCGUCAUCGAGCUGAACGUGUGCUAGAACUCGGAGGUGCCGUAGUUUUGGUGCUUGAUCGGUCGGAUCGUGAAGACGUACGACUACAUCAACCAAACACUUCCAUUGUCGAUCUACUAGGUAUGUAGAUCAUACUCCCCCUCUCGUUGCUAUGCAUCACAUAAUCUUGCGUGUGCGUAGGAAUUUUUUUGAAAUUACUACGAAACCCAACAAGAAUUGUAUUAACCGGAAACAUAAUACUUGUGUGAAUACAUAGACAAACUAAACGUCACUAGUAUGCCUCUACUUAACUAGCUCGUUGAUCGAAGAUGGUUAUGUUUUCUAACCAUAGACAUAUGUUGUCAUUUGAUUAACAGGAUCACAUCAUUAGGAGAAUGAUGUGAUUGACAUGACCCAUUCCAUUAGCUUAGCACCCGAUCAUUUAGUAUGUUGCUAUUGCUUUCAUCAUGACUUAUACAUGUUCCUAUGACUAUGAGAUUAUGCAACUCCCGUUUGCCGGAGGAACACUUUGUGUGCUACCAAACGUCACAACAUAACUGGGUGAUUAUAAAGGAGCUCUACAGGUGUCUCCAAAGGUACAUGAUCAACAUCAAGGCUCCAUGGGUGUUAGAAUCAUUACUGUGUAAUCUAGAUUAUUGACUCUAGUGCAAGUGGGAGACUGAAGGAAAUAUGCCCUAGAGGCAAUAAUAAAGUUAUUAUUUAUUUCCUUAUAUCAUGAUAAAUGUUUAUUAUUCAUGCUAGAAUUGCAUUAACCGGAAACAUAAUACAUGUGUGAAUACAUAGACAAACAGAGUGUCACUAGUAUGCCUCUACUUGACUAGCUCGUUAAUCAAAGAUGGUUAUGUUUCCUAACCAUAAACAAGGAGUUGUUAUUUGAUUAACGGGAUCACAUCAUUAGGUGAAUGAUCUGAUUGACAUGACCCAUUCCAUUAGCUUAGCACCCGAUCGUUUAGUAUGUUGCUGUUGCCUUCUUCAUGACUUAUACAUGUUCCUAUGACUAUGAGAUUAUGCAACUCCCAUUUGCCGGAGGAACACUUUGUGUGCUACCAAACGUCACAACGUAAAUGGGUGAUCAUAAAGGUGCUCUACAGGUGUCUCCAAAGGUACAUGUUGGGUUGGCGUAUUUCGAGAUUAGGAUUUGUCACUCCGAUUGUCGGAGAGGUAUCUCUGGGCCCUCUCCGUAAUGCACAUCACAUAAGCCUUGCAAGCAUUGCAACUAAUGAGUUAGUUGCGAGAUGAUGUAUUAUGGAACGAGUAAAGAGACUGGCCGGUAACUAGAUUGAACUAGGUAUUGAGAUACCGACGAUCGAAUCUCGGGCAAGUAACAUACCGAUGACAAAGGGAACAACGUAUGUUGUUAUGCGGUCUGACCGAUAAAGAUCUUCGUAGAAUAUGUAGGAGCCAAUAUGAGCAUCCAGGUUCCGCUAUUGGUUAUUGACCGGAGACGUGUCUUGGUCAUGUCUACAUUGUUCUUGAACCCGUAGGGUCCGCACGCUUAAGGUUUCGAUGACAGUUAUAUUAUGAGUUUAUGAGUUUUGAUGUACCGAAGUUAGUUCGGAGUCCCGGAUGUGAUCACGGACAUAACGAGGAGUCUCGAAAUGGUCGAGACAUAAAGAUUGAUAUAUUAGACGGCUAUAUUCGGACACCGAAAGUGUUCCGGGUGAUUUCGGAGAAAACCGGAGAGCCGGAGGGUUACCGGAACCCUACCGGGAGAAGUAAUGGGCCAUAUGGGCCUUAGUGGAGAGAGAGAGGGGCAGCCAGGGUGGGCCGCGCGCCUCCUCCCCCUGGUCCGAAUUGGACUAGGAGAGGGGGGCGGCGCCCCCCUUUCCUUCUCCCUCCCCACUUCCUUCCCCCUCCUAGUAGGAGUCCUACUCCUACUAGGAGGAGGACUCCUCCUGGCGCACCAAUAGGGGCCAGCCGGCCUCCUCCCCUUGCUCCUUUAUAUACGGGGGCAGGGGGCACCCCUAGACACACAAGUUGAUCCACAUGAUCAUAUUCUUAGCCGUGUGCGGUGCCCCCUUCCACCAUAAUCCUCGAUAAUAUUGUGGCGGUGCUUAGGCGAAGCCCUGCGACGGUAGUACAUCAAGAUCGUCACCACGCUGUCGUGCUGACGGAACUCUACCCAACACUUUGCUGGAUCGGAGUCCGGGGAUCGUCAUCGAGCUGAACAUGUGCUAAAACUCGGAGGUGCCGUAGUUUCGGUGCUUGAUCGGUCGGGCCGCGAAGACGUACGACUACAUCAACCGCGUUGUGCUAACGCUUCCGCUAUCGGUCUACAAGGGUACAUAGAUCACACUCCCCUCUCGUUGCUAUACAUCACCAUGAUCUUGCGUGUGCGUAGGAAAAUUUUGAAAUUACUAUGUUCCCCAACAUCACAAACAUCCCUAGAGUUCGUACUAGAAUAACACCUUAAGACACAAAUCAACCAAAACCCUAAUGUCACCUAGAUACUCCAUUGUAACCUCAAGUAUCCGUGGGCAUGAUUAUACGAUAUGCAUCACACAAUCUCAAUUCAUCUAUUCAACCAACACAUAGAACCUCAAAGAGUGCCCCAAAGUUUCUACCGGAGAAUCACAGCGAAAACGUGUGCCAACCCCUAUGCAUAGGUUCAUGGGAGGAACCCGCAAGUUGGUCACCAAAACAUACAUCAAGUGGCACGUGGUAUCCCAUUGUCACUACAGAUAUCCAUGGCAAGACAUACAUCAAGUGUUCUCAAAUCUUUAAAGACUCAAUCCGAUAAGAUAACUUCAAAGGGGAAACUCAAUUCAUUACAAGAGAGAAGAGGGGGAGGAGAAACAUAGGAUCCAGCUAUAAUAGCAAAGCUCGCGAUACAUCAAGAUCGUGCCAAAUCAAGAACACGAGAGAGAGAGAGAGAUCAAACACAUAGCUACUGGUACAUACCCUCAGCCCCGAGGGAGAACUACUCCCUCCUCGUCAUGGAGAGCGCCGGGAUGAUGAAGAUGUCCACCGGUGAGGGUUCCCCCCUCCGGCAGGGUACCGGAACAGGGUCCCGAUUGACUUUUGGUGGCUACAGAGGCUUGCGGCGGCGGAACUCCCGAUCUAUUGUUCGUUUUAGAAGUUUUAGGGUACAACAAUAUAUAUGAGUGCAGGAAGUACCUCGGAGGAGCCACGGGGGCCCCACGAGGCAGGGGGGCGCGCCCCCACCCUCGUGGGCAGCCUGUGUCUCCCCUGACGUGCACUGCAAGUUCCCUGGGUCGCUUUCCUUCCAAAAAUAACUUCUCUAGUUGAUUUCGUUCCGUUUCGACUUCGUUUGAUAUUCCUUUUCUUCGAAACACUGAAAUAGGCAAAAAACAGCAAAUCUGGGCUGGGCCUCCAGUUAAUAGGUUAGUCCCAAAACUAAUAUAAAAGUGGAAAAUAAAGCCCAAUAUUGCCCAAAACAGUAGAUAAUAUAGCAUGGAGCAACCAAAAAUUAUAGAUACGUUGGAGAAGUAUCACCCUCGUGCAUGUAGUACGGGUCAGCGACACAGAUAUGAGAUAUCUGCUCAACCCUGAUGAUGUAGUUCAUGUGCAAGGCAUAAAGGCAGACAAACAUAAAAUCCAGCUUCUUCACGUGAAACAUGUUGAAUAUGUAAUCGAAUCGGAGGAAGAACUUAUUCGCGGGGAAGCUGUCGACGUACGACAUUUGCCGUGGAACGUUAACCACGUAGAGUGGGUAUCCUGGAUCUUUCGAGGCGAUGAGGCCUUUCUCUACCCGCAGCACAUCAUCAUGAAGUCUCCUUAGAUCGCCGAAUCUGACCCAUAGUGCUGUUGCAGGUAGGAUUGGUUGACCGGGGAUAUGCCAUUUAUCCGCAUCGGGGAUAUCUAUACGGUCCUGAAGCCGAGGCUGCUGGAUCACAGAAUCAGCUUUUUUGCCUUUCCUCGCUCUCUUCCUAGACUUCUUUACUACCAGAAGGUCGUCCAUAAUACGUUGAGACGGCAAUUCAGGCACCGACUCAUGACGCUCAAACCCUAAGGAGGCGCCAGUAUAGACAUACUGUUCAGCGCCAUCGUCGUCCUCAUCUUCAUCCAUGGCGACAUCAUCAGCGACUAAUGGAGGCUCCUCCUUACCCCGUCCGCUAUCACCCAACCCGAUACCCGAUGCUAAUUGGGUAGGUGGGGUGUUGGUGUUCAUACCUUGCUGAGGCUGCGUGCUCGUGGGUGUGCUCCCGGCCGCCUCCAGACGAAGCAGACUCUUUGGCCACAACAGGACCCACCCAUUGCAACAAUCACCAAGCCGCCGCGGUGUCUCGUCAUCAUCCCCCACUAGUAUUGGAGGAGGCAAAUUCUCGUGGCCCGGUUUGACACUGGCCACGGAAACCUUGAAGACGUUUGGGGGGAUCGGCCGGCUGUGGAAUAAUGGUUCCUUCAGCUCCAUUAUCGUCGCCUUCCCCACGUCCACCUUCUGGUCGCCGAUGGUGUACGAUAUGGUGCACGGGGUUUCGUCGGCCCACAAAGAAAAGUCUGCGACGUGAGACAUCCGAAAGGCAACGAAAACGGGAGAUUAUACAUUUAUAUUGAAGGGGGCCGGUGUGACAGAUACCGUGAGGGCGUCGAGCUCAGCCAAAGAUGAAGCACCACCGAGCACGUCCGGUGCGGGAGCCGGUGCAGGAGCAGGUGCGGGUGCAACGCUAGUCGAGCUGCUCCCCAAGAAGUCAGCAAGGGGAAAGUCCUCUGCAUUUUUUUUCUGGAUUUUGCCUUGUCCAAGUGAAAACGCCCGUCACCAAGGAAGUGGACAAAUCUGCAACCACCUAUUUUGCGGCAGCUGCCGCUGUUGCGACUAUCUGAGAUGAUUUCUUCUCAACCGCAAUCUCAACCUUCUUGUCGAUGUUUUCUUUCGUUAACCUCCGUCUUUCCUUUCUCUCCUCCGUGGUCUCACGGUAGUACUUCUUCCACGUGGCGCCAUCUCCGACACCGUGCACGCGUCCAUACGACGGUCGAGUAUCCACCGGUUGUCGUUUCAAUAUGUUCAACGCCCGGUUGAAUGGAGUGUCCCACUUGGGCCUCGCCAAUGCCUCAUACGGCGAGUCGCUUUCGGCCGCAAUCCGGUGCUGCUCUCUCUGCAAAAGGCACAAGGAUCGUUUACAAAUAUGACUAACGUGUGCAGUCGAAUUGAUCAGAAACUAAAAUUACCAGCAGACUCAUGAACUCCGUAAUGAUCGGUUUUGUCUCGUAAACCUUCUUCACUAGGUCCCACCGGUGUCGGGCUCUGAGGACAUCACGCUCCUGCGGGACGGUGAAAUCCGCCAAGGAGUUUGGGAUGCCCAGACUCGCGGCUUCCGCGUGCUCCUUGGCCCAUUUGGACCUCUUUCCGUCGUAACCACGGCUUUCGAGGUGGUGGCUCCCAAUGUUCCUCUCUUGAAGCCCCUUCAUGUACUUAGACUUUUUUUGGCAGCUUCGGCCUCGCAAGCCUCCUUAAAUAUUUGAAACUUCUCUUCCGUGAUUGUCGGAUUAUCCUUUACAAUCUCGGAGUAGGGUUCCUUCUUGUCGAUGAUCUUUGCUUUCACUCGAUUUUUCCAGGCGGCCAACGCGUCACUAAACUUGGUCAAUGCCGUGUUUGUUUAUCUUCUUCAUUGCCGGGUCCUCAUAUGGAUCUUCAUAAUCCUUCUCAUUCUGGCCUGGGAACAAGAAUAUCUGGUGAAACUUCUUUAGGACGGAGCUCCUCAUAUUUUUUAUCUUCUGUAGUUUCUCAUCGUUGAUGGUGGCGGUUGUCUGUACGAUGCAGCCUAUUUGGUUGCCGUAGCAUCAACGCGCUUCCUCGUGCGCCUUUGGCUCAAAAUUGCCAUCAUCCACCUCCGUGACCACCAUUCUAGUAGUCCUGAGUUUGUUAGGAAGUCGUUGCCUCUUUGCUUUCGGUUCUACACAGGCUCCGCUCCCCGAGGCAGCGCCGGUCUCAGUCUCAGCGCCGGUCUUGAUGCCGGUCUGAGUCUCAGCGUCGGUCUCAGUCUCAGCACCGGUCUGUGUGUCGGUCUCAGUCCCCGAUGCCACCGGUGGGCCCAACAAAUCGGUUGAUCAUCGGCAAGGCUAAAAAAUUCGUCUGCCGCCCGAUAGACAUCGUCGCAAUCACCAGAACCCUGUCCUUCAUCGUUGCUAGCCAUGUUUCCUAUGAUUAAAUCUAGUCAAUUAAUUCUAGACCUAAUAAAAUGAAUAAUGACAUAAAAAAGGCCUAUUGUUUUGCAGGAAUGUUGACUCCUUCCUGGUGCGGCAAAUCCCGGGCAGUCGAUAUGUCCUAGUUUGUAGCACAAGUCAUGCCGAAAUUCACGGAAAAUUUCGGCACGACCUUUGCUAAAAAGUGGACAAAUCGAGAACCUAAAAUUUGCCGGAACAGAAAUGAAUCAACAUUCCAGCAAAACAUAGGCCACUCAGCAUCAUUCCCUGGAAACAACAAAGCCACUUGGGCACAAUCGAACAACUUCAAUGAAAAGAUAUAACAUGAGCAAACACUAUUUAGGAAUUUGCAUAUAACAUGGCCACUUCAAUGAAAAGAUAUAAUCAACAAUAAUGGAAUAUGCAAAUGAACAUCAAUGACAUAUAUCAUAUAAAAAACAGUCUUGUUUUUUGUUUACAUAGCAACAAUUAGUUUGACCAAGUUUUUGAAAAGAAAAACAAUUCUGUUUUUUGUUUAUAGCUAAAUGCCAUAGCUACUGUUUUUUAUUUAAAGCUAAAUACUUUUGUUUUUUGUCUAAAGCUAAAAGUCUAGGAACUCCAUUUUCUCUAACCCUUCUGACCUCACCAAAAUUUCCACAACAAGACCUUAGUACCUACACCCAAUUUCUUAAAAAAUAUUUAGGUCCAUAGUCCAAAUAAUUCAAAUUUCAUUUGAAUGAAAUUUGGAACAAAUUCAGGUCCGUAGUCCAAAUAUUUUUUUAUAGAUAAGUGUUUUUUGUUUAUAGCCUCUGUUAAUUGAAAUCUAAAUGCUACUAUUAUUCAUAUACCCUCUAUUAGUUUAAAGCUAAAUGGAAUUACUGUUUAGGCAUUUUCAUAAAAAUUGCCCUAGCUAAUUUCCUAAAAAAAUUGCUAAUCAUUUUUCCUAAAUGCUAUAAAAUGCCUACUGCCCUAAAAAAAUCUAGGGUUCAUAUGAACAUCAACACAGUAUCAACAUAUAUAUGAAUUGCCCUAGCAGAGAGAGAGAGGAGGGUAGGGGACAGGAAAGGCAGAGCCUUACGGUCGGCAGCGAGGGCAGGCUCUGGCUCGGGCGGCGGCGGUGAGGUCGAGGGCGGCGGCGGUGAGCUCGAGGGAGGCGACGGUGAGGUCGACGAUGGCCUCGGGCGGCGGCUGUGAGGUCGAGGGCGGCCUCGGGCGGCGGCGGUGUGGUCGAAGGCGGCGGGCAGUGGCGGUGUGGUCGAAGGCGGCCUCGGGCGGUGGCGGUGUGGUCGAAGGCGGCAGGGCGACGGCGGCGAUGGAGCAGUUGGGGGACAGGGGGCCGGGAGUAGAGAGGGAGGAAAGGACUUGGCGAAAUUUUGAGCCCGGGCUGCCGGGAUUUGAGUCAAACUAGCAGUAGCGCAUUUUGCCGAAACGCGCUAUAGCUAAGAUAGCUACAGCGUGUUCCAGAGAAACGCGCUACAUCUAUUCCUUUCUGUUUUAUUUUUCUUUUUCUUUUAUUUUCUUUACAUUUACUUUUUUUCAUUUCUCCUUUUUCUAUUUCUUUUAUUUUUCUAUUUAUUUUCUUUUUCAUAGCAGUAGCGCUCUACAACAUAAACGCGCUGCUACAAAGUUUUUAGCAGUAGCGUGCUUCUGGGUGAACCGCUACUAUUAUUCCUAGCCUACCGACAUUAGUGACGGAAUUUUAGUAGUAGCGCUUUUCCGUGAAGACGCGCUACUGCUAAAACAAUGGUUGUAGCGUGGUUUUGCAACAAGCGCUACUACUAAGUAGCGCUAGCGCCGAGUUUUGACCAACGCUACUGCUAUACCUCUGUGUAUAAGGUUUUCCCAAGUAGUGUAGGUCCAUUGGGGAGCAAAAUCAGAGCCGAUUGCAAUAUGAGUUCUUUGUUUUUGUUUGGGGUUUCUUCUGCAAGAUGCAUAAUCUAGUUCGUAAUUUUGAGUUUCCUUUGGAUCCUGUUUAUAAAUUGUACUCGCAUGCUUAUCUAAUCGAUAUUAGGUCUUAAAAAAGAGUGAAAUGGUCUAUUGUCCGUGUGUUACUCUAAUUUGUUGUAGGAUAGCGAUGAUGAGCAAUAGAUUUUUAGAAAACAAACCUUACUAGGAUUUUUAGGAGAUCUGUUUUACUAUCUUUUCUGUUAAGAAUAGGCUUAAGAAAGUAUUGUCUGGUCCUUGAUUAGAUUUUGGAUAUUUAGAGCAUCUACAACCGCCAUGAGCAAAUCAGGCCCCUCAAACGCCUGCGGACGCACCCGGAGACAUCCGCCCGCAUUGACCGGGCAUGCCUCAUAUUUGCCACUCUGCAUAUAUGUAUCUCAUAUUCGGCGCCUUAUCUCCAUACUACACAUGCAACGUUGAUCUACUCUACAUGAUCAAACGAUGGACAAUAAAAGUCGGCUGCAAAGGAACAUAAGAUCGCUGCAAACGGACAUUAACAAACUUGGGCACAUCCAAAAGAUCAUAGUUCGUCACCGGACAAGUUCUUAAACCUCUACAACUAAAACGAUAUAAAAAUGAGGACAGAGGGAUGAACAUUUCCUCGCCGGGCCUUUGCCAUUCCGGUCGCCGGCGCAGCUGUAGGCGUUAUUCAUUAGAUCUUACAUGGAGAUCCAUGUAAAAUUUCCUUUUAAGUUUUUUCUUUCUUCUUUAUUAUAUGUUUUGUCACUUGACUGAGACGUCAUUAAGUCUUAGUCGGCUGAGAUCUAGCCACACCCUUUAUUUACCUUAGCACCUGUAUAGGCAUUUUGCAUGAGAGAUAGCCUUAACAUAAUUUGUUUUCCACGACGUGUUCUCUCACAAUUUUUCUGUCAUGUACCCAACUAUGAGUAGGCAAGUAUUAUUUGUGUUUUGCUCUUACACUGCCCUCAAUGUAAUUGAACCAAGAGCCAACAGAAGGUUUCCUUUUUGGUGGGGAAGCACAAGCUUUUAUUUUGAUACACAUGAUUAAUUAUUGGAGAUAGAUACUACUAUACACAAAUGCUUGUAUCCAAUAUUUGGAUUUCCAUAUCCUCUAAGACAUUACACAAAUGCUUGUAUCCAACAUUUGGAUUUCCAUAUCCUUUAAGACUUUGCACAAAUGCUUGUAUCCAAUAUUUGGAUUUUCAUAUCCUCUAAGACAUUACACAAUAUUCCAAAAUUUGGAUUUCCAUAUCCUCUAAGACAUUACACAAAUGCUUGUGUCCAAUAUUUGGAUUUCCAUAUCCUCUAAGGCAUCGAAUGCAAAGCAAAGAGGAAUGCAAUAAAUAGCACUCAAACCACAUUCUUCUCCUCACACCAUCAUUCCAACAACUUAUUUUGAUCACUUGGCCAUGACGUUCAGCGGCGCCCAGAUGCUCGCUGCCUUCACCUUGGGCUUUCUUCUCAUGGCCUUCUGUAAGUUCAUGUAGCAGAUUUUUAUCGCAAUUCCAUGCAAUUUUUGAUCAAUCAAUGAAACAAUUGCUACUAUAAUUUUAUGGUGCACACAUUAAUUCUAACUCACAUGCAGGUGUAGAUGGUCGGGUAUGCACAUCCCCUAGCAAGUUGUACAAAAGGAGCCCUUGCAAGAACAUGGGCUGCACCGCGGCCUGUCACAAAGAGCACUUCGAGGGUGGGUACUGUGCCACUAAGAAGACAAUUGUUGGCAAUGAGCUCAACAAAGACAACGACGAAAACUUCUUUCACAAACGACCUAAGAAAAAGACAUGCGUAUGUACACUUCAAUGCAGUAAAGCCCCACCACCAUCGUCAGAACCUGACGUGCCAGAGCCACCGGGUGAACCUGAGCUGCCAGAUCCUAAGAAGAAGCCGCCGCCGCCAUAUGUACGUGAUGUGCCGGAGCCGCCCUCGGGAGAAAACAAGAAGAAGCUAGUGGCAGCUGCUGACCAGUGAGCAAAUGGUCUAGCCUGCCCGUCCGUGGAAAAUGAUUUCAAUAAGACAGGAAUUAAUCAAUGCUUA
rnacentral:lncRNA from 1 species